rnacentral:lncRNA from 1 species
GCUUAAAUCCUGCUUCUGAAAUUCCAUCCAAAAUUACUGAAGAUCUCCAUUACAGUAACUUCUAGCAAAUGACAGCUUUUUAAUCUUGUCUUCCUCUUUAGAUAGGCCUUUUGGGGUUGGGGUUGUUAGGGGAGUCCAUGGUUGCUGCAUUUAGAAAGGAGUUGGUGGGUGAGGGAAGAUUGGCAAUGGAGUUGGGUUGUGGGUGGUAUGGCGCAGUGGGGACGCUGCCAACCGUGGGCCAAGGUAAGACAUCUGGUAGGCUAAGGCCGGGGCGAGAGCGCAGCAACCAACGACUACUUGGGUUAGUGCGAUGGUGGCUGGCUAUGCUAGAUCCAAUGGCGGGAGCCGCCGGAGAUGAAGGAGGAGGGCGGCGGCAGGGGCGAGCUUCUUAUGGGCCUAUGGUGGGCUUUUUGUGAUGUAACUGCUUGGAGUCGUGCCUGCGAGUCUGCGACCCGGAAUAGCCCCCAGGCAGCACGCUAGAAUAUAUGAAUUUCAGCUCGGAUCACCCAGCUAAGUAUACGAAAAACAUAGGUAUUUAACAAAACUUCAUACUCACCUUGUUUCAGCACGCACACAUGUAAUUUCACAGAUCAUAAAAGAGAAAACGAGAAUAAAAGAAAUGAUAGAGGUAAUAAUGAAAAACAGGAAAAAUAGACAUGAAAAGUUAGAACUUUUGAAAAGAAAAGGAAUGAAAAGAAAAAAGAAAUAAUAGUAGUGAUUUAAAAAUAACGAAUAAUAAAUAGAGAGGAAAAUAAAAGUUUUGCAUGUCAGUGUUUUGCAUGUAAUCUUGGAAACAACAAACCAUAAAAUUUUACAUUGUAUGGAGCUAUUUCAACAAUGAAUUAAAUCACAUCUUCCUUACAUGGUAUUAUUAGACACAUAAAUGUAAAAUGCACAUUGAAAAUGGCCUUAUUUCAUACACAAGAAUAGUUGUUUUGCGAUGGCGAAGGUGGGAUCAAACAACAUUCACCGGCCAAUAAAGUUUUUAAGGGAAAACACAGGCAUGGAUUUCAUCCAAUCUUUAUGAAUAAUCUUACUAUGUUCCACCCAAACAUUGUAGGUAUGCCACAAUCUGAUUGUAAACUUCAAUGCUCAAUUGGAACUUUAUAAGGUGAAGCCACUAGGUGCAAUGGGUUGGUUCUCCUUGCCGUGGCGCCAACAGUCGUGUGCAUGUCAAGCUCCUCAGGCUGCAUUCCAUGGGGAAGGCUCCAGUUGAAGUAGUAGAGAAGCCGUGCCACGAUUAGCUCAAGGGUGGAUAGGGCGAAGCCGAUGCCAGGGCACAACCUUCUCCCGGACCCAAAUGGUAAGUACUCAAAUUGUGUGCCUGUGUAGUCUGCAAUGCUGUUCUUGAACCGUUCAGAUUUGAACUCCUCAGCAUUGUCCCAGUAUUCUGAGCUUCUUGCCAUCGCCCAUGCGUUGACAAUCACCCUAGUACCUUUGUUCACCUUGAACCCACCGAUGUCACAGGUCUCACGGCACAGACAAGGGAGAAGAAGUGGUAGCGGUGGGUGGAGCCUUAGAGUCUCCUUGAUCACCAUCCUGGUGUAGUGCAGCUCGCCCAUGAGGGACUCAUGGCCGUACGGGCAUUUGUGGUCAAAUGCUUGCCGCACCUCCUUCUGUGCCUUUACCAUGGUAUCUGGGUUCCUCAUCAGCUCUAUCGUUGGUUGAUGAAGUUGUCUCUGUGCCUGCAGUAAAUAAAUCCUGAACAAAAUUGACAUAAACAAAACAACGAAAAGAUUUGUUAGUAGAAGUGCGAUCAUCAAAGCACUGUACAGCUUUCGAGUUACAGCUUCAUGGUGAAGAACGUAAAUACCCAAUGAUUUGUGAUGAGAAAUUAAUGAUCAGAGUUGAGAAUGGACUCUCAGGUAUAUUUAAUAUAACCAUGAUAACAGUUUGUAACUAAAAGAGUAACAUUUACCUGAAUAAUUGCCUUGAUGGUUGUGAUUUUGAUGGGGAUCUCAAACUCGUCCUCAUCAUGGAUCCUCAGCAGCACGCUCAGAAGGUCAUCUUCUCCUUGCACCUCUUGUCCUUCAGAAUUCUUUGCCUUCCUCUCCUUCCGCCGUGCUUCACACUCGGCUAUGAUCUUGUCUGUCACACCUUCGAGCUGCAGAUGUGCUCUUUGUAGCCGGCGUUUUGUUCCAGUGACGACGUCCAGAAACUGCAGCGAUGGGAAUAGGUCCCAGGCACAAAACCCAGAGAUAUUGCUUAUCACAACAUUCACGGCUGACAGGAAAUGAGGACGACACGAGCAGGCUGCCGAGGUUCACGGUCUUCCCACUGGUGGAAUAGAUCUCCUUGACGAGGGACAUGGUUUCUCUGUCCCUGAUGGAUGCAAACUGCUUCACCUUGGAAGUGUUGAGGAGCUGAAUUGUGCAGAGCUUGCGCAGUACCAGCCAAUAGGCGCCGUAGGGCGCAAAGGCAAUGUCGUGGCAACCGUAGCAGAUGAUCUACGCGCCAAGCAACUUUGGCCGUGACGCGAAGCUCAGGUCGUUCUCCCGGAGCACCUCUCGCGCAGCUGCUGGUGAAGAGAUCACGACGGUGUCGACUUGUCCCAGCUUCAGGUACAUUACCGGGCCAUGCUUCUUCGCGAGGUCACGGAGGGCAGCCUGCGGCUGAGAGGUGAGCACGUGGUGGAGGCUUCCAAUGAAGGGGAGGCCCCGUGGACCAGGAGGUCGCCUUUUCUCUGAUUUCACUCUGGAUUUGUGGCGAAGUGAUGCUACAAUGAUUAGCAUUGGGAUAAUACCCAGGAGGAAGAUGCUUAUUGUGCUUAUCUCCAUGCUCGAAGAUCACCUAAACGUAGAAGAAAUGCGGGUGAAAAUAAAAAAGAAAAGAUGAAUGCGCACGUGACAUGAGCUGCUUUCUUAACGAGUAACGUGUCAUACGAAGAAAAUACCGCUGGAUGUGUACAGACGCAGAGAAAGACAAACCACUCGAAAACAUGUGGAACAUUACAAGAUAUUAUGAAAAUGGUCAUUUUUGUUCUUUCGUUAUCAUCACAAGAUACAAUCAAAUACAGUUGUAUCACUAUCACGUUGCGGGCCUGUGAUUGAGACCUCAAAUCAUUAAAUUAUUUAUGUUGACAUCAACUCAGAUUAGCAUCAAUAUCCUUUGACAAAAAUAUUAGUCUCAGGUCUAAAUUUUGUAGUUUGUGGAGGAUCUUUUAGUCCCGGUUUGUAAUACAAACACAUACUAAAGAUGAUUUACUCCCGAUUUCCCACGGGUGAUUUCAAAAGGAAAGAAUCCCCUACUUAGUCAGAUGUGUUGUGUAGGUGAGAUGAUAAGGAAGCUACGCGCAUGUAAAUUAUUGACAACAUAAAUAGAUUGGUGGUAUAAAUAAAGGAUGCUGCUAACCGCUCUAUAGUAGUGGAAGUGGAUGAGUUGGUUUAUCUGGGGGAAGACCUUGAUGCUAAGGAUGUCAUAAAGCAAGCGAUGAUCAAGGCUUACGCAACAGAAAAGACAAACAUCUCAAUCCAUAUGACCAUCGACACCUACAAUACAACAAUCGUAGCAUAAACCAGGCAACAGAGUAAGAGGAAACCCACAAAGCUGGUGGUAGAACUGCAUUCUCGAUCUGGCAACUAAAGGGUAUGUCUAAGAUGCCAUUAAUAUGUGAAACUGAACACAAGAGUAAAUCAAUACAUGAGGGUAUGAGGUGCUGCAUCAGGCUUCACCCCCGUAGCUCCAAGGCGAGCUAAGCGGCAGAUUCAUAGUAGUAUUGGAGUAGACGAGGUCUGACUGGCCGAUGACCAAGGGAAAUGCAACCAAAAAGACUAACCCCCUCAACAUGCGACUAUUGGCACUUUUGAAUACAACAAUACGGGAUUGGCAUCGACGAAUGCAACGAUGCGUAUGGGGGAAUAUAGGCAUCUGCUACACCUAGCGAACACAUAGCUCAAGAUCACAAUGUCAAGCAAGUGACAGAGUAAGACAUAAACUGCAAAGAUAAUGGUAGAACCGAAAUAUCUAGUAGCGCGAAGGAAUGCAGGGGCUGCCAUUAAUAAAUGAAAUAAAAACACAUGAGUAAAACAAUACAUGAUGAUAUUGGAUGCUGCACCAGGCUUGACACCAAAGGUCACGGUCUUGGCUUAGCAAAGCAGCAGAGCAAGGUGUAGCUUGUAGAUGGAGCUAUUGACUAGGGAGCAUGACAUGGGAAUGACAAGACUGGUUCGAAUAGUACAGCUACUAGCUGUUACGAAUGUGCAUGUUGGAAGCAUAGGAUGCACCAGAGAUGUAGAAGCAUUCUCACUACGGGAAAGCUAAAACUUGCCGAGUGUAUUUCUUUUGCCGAGUGUUUUUUUUCGAGCACUCGGCAAACAAGCUCUUCGCCGAGUGCCAAGCCAAAAACACUCGGCAAAAAAAAUACACUCGGCAAAUCGGGACUUUGCCGAGUGUCAAAUAAAAAACACUCGGCCAACCCCCCCCUUUGCCGAGUGUCAAAGAAAACACUCGGCAAAGAGGGGGGUUUGCCGAGUGUUUUUUUUGACACUCGGCAAAAAAAUAAUUUUUUUUCUCUUUUCACCCUGAAAUUUUUCUACUCCCCACGUACUACAUGUGGUACUCCAUGUUAAAAUUUGGUAUAUUUUUGGAUUUAUUUGCUAUAUUUAUUUAAUUAAUUGCAUUUCAAGGAAAUUUUUGGUAUAAGUCAAAUUUGAACUGCAAGUGAUUCAAAUUAUGGAACAAAAUGAGUAGAAAAAUGAUAUUCAUAUUAUUUGGCCCAGUUUGAGACCUGACCCAUGAAAUGAAAAGAAAUUUCGAACAUCUUGUUCAAGAAACACGACCAUGAACGUGUGGCAGUAGUAUUUUUAAAUUGUUAAAAAAACAAGCAAAGUCUAAAAAUUAUGAGAUUUUUCAUGAUGUGAUGAUAUAAUACGUGGAGGCUGUGGAAAAAAAUUGAGAAGGUUUUGCACAUUUCAUCAUGUACAAUGAUUACAAAUCGAAGCAUCUCAGAAGAAGAAUAGUAACUUUGAGAGGAUUCGAUACGAUUUAGAGUCGAAGUGACGGUCAAGUUUGGUUUGACUACAAAACUUUUUGUAUAGUCAAUAGAGAACAUAUAUUGGUUCGUGUGAAAAUUUGGUAUUUUUUUGAAACUGUUGGGUAUUUUUAAAUUUUUUUUCAAAAAAACUUUGACGAGUGUCCUAGGUGGGACACUCGGCAAAGAAAACCUUUACCGAGUGUUCACGUAGGACACUCGGCAAAGGGCCACACGCGCCGCAAUUAAGACCGGCCCCCCACCCGUCCGACGGCCCGCACCAGACACCCCCCCCCACCCGUCCGACGCCCCCUCUCUUCAACCUUCCUCUCCCGCCGCCGGCUAGCCGCCGCCGCCGCCGCCCCUUCCCUCCCUCCCUCCCUCUCCCUCUCCCUCUCCUACCGGCGCCCCUCCCUAACCUUCCUCUCCCACCGCCGCCGCCGCCCCUUCCCUCCCUCCCUCUCUCUCCCUCUCCCUCUCCCUCUCCUACCGGCGCCCCUCCCUAACCUUCCUCUCCCGCCGCCGGCUAGCUGCCGCCGCCGCCGCCGCCGCCCCUUCCCUCCCUCCCUCCCUCUCCCUCUCCAUCUCCUACCGGUGCCCCUCCCCCUCCUCUCCCCUCCUGAUCUCCCUCGCGUGGCCGCCCCGCCCCUCUCCCCAGAUCCGACCGGAUCCGGCGGGGACUCGCGUCGGGGGUCCUGGAUCCGGCGGGGACUCGCGUCGGGGGCCCUGGAUCCGGCGGGCAUGGAUGGUGGCGGCGGCGUGGAUGGUGGCGGCGGGCAUGGAUGGUGGCCGGCGGCGGCGUGGAUGGUGGCGGCGGCGGCGGUGUGGAUGGUGGCGGCGGCAGCGGUGCGGCCGACGGUGUCGGCGUACCUCCUCUGGAUCCGACGCCGCCGCCUCCCCCCUCCUCUUCCCCUCCCUCUCCGGCGCGGGCGGCGCCCCUCCCCUCCCUCUCCUUCGGCCCUUCCCCUCCCGGCUGGCGGUGGUGGUGGUGCUGGCGGUCGGGGGCGGUGCUGGCGGUGGUGGCUGGCGGUGGUAGCCGGUGGUGGCCGACGGUGGUGGCCGGUGGUGCUGGCAGUGGUGGCGGCGGCGGCGGAACAGGUUUUUUUUUAUUUUUUUCAAAAAUUGGAUGCCGAGUGUUUUCUGGCCACUCGGCAAAGACUUUGCCGAGUGCGCGAUAGAAAACACUCGGCAAAUUCGUGUUUGCCGACUCAAAGUUUGCCGUGUGCCGUUUGCUGAGUGUUACACUCGGCAAACGGCUCGCCGAGUGUAUUUCGCCCUUCGCCGAGUGCCCCUAGCACUCGGCUAUUUUCUUCUUUCCCAUAGUGUCUGAGGCAGGAAGCUCAUCAUCUUCUCCAAGAGAGGCAUAAAACGACAAAUAGAGAACACAGAUUGAGGUUUCCUCGUUCAAAUUUGUAAAUUUGCACAAUUAUCCAGUAUAACAACUGCAAAAGUAUGGAUUGAAAGCCAAAAGGCCAGGAGAAGAUCGUUACCGGAAAGGUAGCCCCUUACGCCUAGUGUUUGCUCCGUUCUGCAACCAGCGGUGCUAUUGAGCGUAGAUAUAGUGAUGCGGUGUUAGUCCCAACCAGCGGCAGGAGCCAGAUGGUAGCGGAUGAGACAGAUUCUGUACAAGACAAGCAAGGGGCUCAAUUUGUAGGGACCAAUAACGUUCGUGGACAUGUUUGUGGUAAGCAACCCUCUAUUCUCUUCCUUGCCUUAAUUAAGUUGGAGCCACUUCUAGCCACAAUCCCAUAAAUGACAUGAUCACGACAGGAUCGAUGAUCAAGCAUCAUUUUAGAAAUAGAAUUCCUAGGAAUAUCACCACUACGAUGUUUUUACGAAAACCUUAAAAGGUGUGAGUUUUCAUAGUAAAUCUAAAAUGAACAGCAACAAGUAAGGACCAGGACAUGGAAGUAAGGGAGCAACCUCAGUGCAUGAUCCAGUCCCAGGAGCUUAUUUCAGUCAUAUAAGGACCGUUCACAGCAAAUCUUUCUAGUGAACAAUGCAACCACACGCGCCAAAAAGGUACAGCCUUCGGGAGUACCUAGCUAUAUAUGUGAGGUCUUGGUUGAUGAGCACAUCAACACCAACGAUACAUCCACACCUACACAAGUACCAGUUUUUGGUCCUAUUACUUGCGCCCGUGCUCAUCAACUUAAUCAUCAAGUAAGUUCACUCUUGAGUUCUUGUCCAUCCUAUUUAGACCAUGGAGACAAGUGCGCUCUUGUUUUGGUUAGGAACCAGGGAGAAGAUCGAAAGGGAAAAGGACUCGCGCAGGCUGGAUUCGGACUCCAGGACAGUACCAACUUGUGAUGGUCACCACGGUCGCAUACGGACUCGGAUUGGGACGUUCAAGUACUUCACGGAUUCAUUAUGAAGUAUAUUUUCAUAUGGAUCUAGAUUCAAGUCCAUAUGCUUUACAAGAUGCGCGUUUAUUUGGUAACCUUGAGAAGUGCACCUUUUGCACCGAUCGAGUGUCUUUUCUUGGUUAUGUUGUGACUCCACAGGGAAUUGAGGUUAAUCAAGCUAAGGUAGAAGCUAUACAGGGAUGGCCUGUACCAAAGACUAUCACACAAGUGCGGAGUUUCCUAGGACUUGCUGAUUUCUAUCGCCGUUUUGUGAAGGACUUCAGCACCAUUGCUGCACCAUUGAAUGAGCUUACGAAGAAGGGAGUGCCUUUUAGUUAGGGCCAAGUACAAGAAAACUCCUUCAACAUGCUGAAAGAUAAGUUGACACAUGCACCCCUCCUCCAACUCCCUGAUUUUAAUAAGACUUUUGACCUCGAAUGUGAUGCUAGUGGAAUUGGAUUGGGUGGUGUUUUGUUACAAGAAGGCAAACCUUUUGCAUAUUUUAGUGAAAAAUUGAGCGGGCCUAUUCUAAAUUAUUCUACUUAUGAUAAGGAAUUGUAUGCUCUUAUUCGCACAUUAGAAACAUGGCAGCAUUACUUGUGGCCCAAAGAAUUUGUUAUUCAUUCUGAUCAUGAAUCUUUGAAACAUAUUCGUAGUCAAGGACAUCUGAACCGUAGACAUGCUAAGUGGGUUGAAUUUAUUGAAUCUUUUUCUUAUGUUAUUAAGCACAAGAAAGGGAAAGAGAAUGUUAUAACUGAUGCUUUGUCUAGGAGAUAUACUUUGCCGAAUCAACUUGAUUACAAAAUCUUUGGAUUAGAAACAAUUAAAGACCAAUAUGUUAAUGAUGCUGAUUUUAAAGAUGUGUUGCUGCAUUGCAAAGAUGGAAAAGGAUGGAACAAAUUCAUCGUUAGUGAUGGGUUUGUGUUUAGAGCUAACAAGUUGUGCAUUCCAGCUAGCUCCGUUCGUUUGUUGUUGCUACAGGAAGCGCAUGGAGAUGGCUUAAUGGGGCAUUUUGGAGCGAAGAAAAUGGAGGACGUCCUUGCUGGUCAUUUCUUUUGGCCAAAGAUGAGAAGAGAUGUGGAGAGAUUUUUUGCUCGGUGCGCGACAUGCCAAAAGGCUAAGUCACGAUUAAAUCCACACGGUUUGUAUUUGCCUCUACCUGUUCCUAGUGCUCCUUGGGAAGAUAUUUCUAUGGAUUUUGUGUUGGGUUUGCCAAGGACUAGGAAGGACCGUGAUAGUGUGUUUGUGGUUGUUGAUAGAUUUUCUAAAAUGGCACAUUUCAUACCAUGUCAUAAAACUGAUGAUGCUACACAUAUUGCUGAUUUGUUCUUUCGAGAAAUUGUUCGUUUGCAUGGUGUGCCCAACACAAUUGUUUCUGAUCAUGAUGCUAAAUUUCUUAGUCAUUUUUGGAAGACUUUAUGGGGAAAACUAGGAACUAAGCUUUUAUUUUCUACUACAUGUCAUCCCCAAACUGAUGGUCAAACUGAAGUUGUCAAUAGAACUUUGUCUACUAUGUUACGGGUUGUUUUAAAGAAGAACAUUAAGAUGUGGGAAGAUUGUUUGCCUCAUAUUGAAUUUGCUUAUAAUCAUUCGCUGCAUUUAGUCUACAAAGAUGUGCCCAUUUCAGAUUGUAUAUGGUUUCUUGCCUCGUGCUCCUAUUGAUUUGAUGCCUUUGCCAUCUUCUGAAAAAUUAAAUUUUGAUGCUACUAAGCGUGCUGAAUUGAUGUUAAAACUGCAUGAAACAACUAAAGAAAACAUAGAGCGUAUGAAUGCUAAAUAUAAGUUUGCCAGUGAUAAAGGUAGAAAGGAACUAAUAUUUGAACCUAGCGACUUAGUUUGGUUGGACUUGAGAAAUGAUAGGUUUCCUGAAUUGCGAAAGCCUAAAUUGAUGCCUCGGGCUGAUGGACCCUUUAAAGUGUUGGAGAAAGUUAAUGAUAACACAUAUAAGCUCGAGCUGCCUGCCGAUUUUGGGGUUAGUACCACAAUUGCAUAUUUGAAGCCAUAUUUUGGAGAAGAAGAAGAGCUUGAGUCGAGGAUGACUCAAAUGCAAGGAGGGGAGGAUGAUGAGGACAUCAACACCAACGAUACAUCCACACCUACACAAGUACCAGUUUCUGGUCCUAUUACUCGCGCCCGUGCUCGUCAACUUAAUCAUCAAGUAAGUUUACUCUUGAGUUCUUGUCCAUCCUAUUUAGACCAUGGAGACACGUGCACUCUUGUUUUGGUUAGGAACCAGGGAGAAGAUCGAAAGGGAAAAGGACUCGCGCAGGCUGGAUUCGGACUCCAGGACAGUACCAACUUGUGAUGGUCACCACGGUCGCAUACGGACUCAGAUUGGGGCGUUCAAGUACUUCACGGAUUCAUUAUGAAGUAUAUUUUCAUAUGGAUCUAGAUUCAAGUCCAUAUCUGGUCUGAGACGGUCGCAAUGACCAAUUUAUUACUGAUAGGUUUUCUGGUGCUGCGUCACCUUAUUUUGGCCCAAUGGGUCGUGUAUCAAGUUGGGUCCAUUAGGGACAUGUCCUAGGGUUGGAGCACGACCCCAACACCCCCUGGUUGUCCUCCUAGGUAUUAAUAAGGAUUAGAGCUGCCACAAAUAGAUUGGGUUUUGUUUAGAUCAAGUUUAGCUCUCACUACUUGCUUGUAAGCGCGCGUGCUGGAUCAGCCGCCCAUCUUCCUAUCUUCGGAACCCCACCUUAUUGAGAUUGAGUUGGAAACCUUCAUUUUCAUCUAGUAAAUUCAGUACUUUUUAUACUUGUUCUUGCUAGUUCUUCGAUUGCUUGCAGGACGAGUGCCCUAGUGGCCAGGUGACGCGCUCCACAAGAUUGCGACAACCAUUGGAGGUGGUGUAUCGGUUGCUAAGGCGCAGCUUGGAAGGCUGUAGUCGGGCCAUGAACGUCGUUUCCAUCGACCAAUCGAGUUAUCCCAUGCCUCUCAUCGAAAGAUCGGGAAUCAACCCUAACGGGUUCUUAUCAGUUGGUAAUCAGAGCAAGGUUUAUCGGUGAGAGACUUAUAAUCCUUCGCUGUUUUACUUUCCCAUAGUCCAGAAAAAGCCAAAAAAAAAUUAGUAGAUUAGUUCACCCGCAAUCCUAUAAAUCCUUUGAGCCUUUGCUAGCACUACUUAGUUAGGGCUUGUUGAGUUUUUGGUUGCAUCGGUUGUGUCAAGUUGCUGAUCUUAGUUUUAGUCCUUUAGAGUUUCGAGUUCUUGUCACGUUCUGGUCACAGCCGUGUGCUACCAUAUAAAACCUUCUAUUGGUUGAAUCUGAAUACAUCCUUGUGUUCAAGUCCGAUUAGGACUCUAAGUUUGUUUAAGACCGAAUCCUACGUAGUGCUGAGUUCGAGUUGGAAUAAGUUUGGAGUCCGAAUUGACAGCUGCCUUGUUGCUGUCUUGAGUCCGAAUUUGAUUUUUAUCCUUUCGGAAUACCCCUAUCCUUUCGGAAAAAGUUUGUGUGGUGUGUGACUCUUGUGAAGUCCUUUUGUUCAUAUAAUCAGAUUUGAGGAUCCCCUGAAAAAAAGAAGAAGAAAAAAACAGAUAGACUGGGCAGGACCUACGCAUAGUCCCAGGUUUGGUUGGCAUGGGUCAUAGGUUGACGACCGGAGGUCCUGGUGGCAUUGUAUAACACGUAAUGAUGCAUCUGUUUCCAGGGAUAGUUUCCCUGUGUGAACAUGAUAUGACCCCUGUUUACACCCCAGCCAUAUCUGUGGAUGGACCUAGGAAAUGCUGUCUAGAGAUAGACGUGGGCGGGUAUGAAUCUUCUAGGUUAGUACCGCCUUUCAUGAAGGUAUUUGUUGAUCGAUCGUAUGGGUAAAGUGUAUAACCUCUGUAGAGUGAUAAAUUUAUCUGGAUAGCCGAGACUCACGGUCAUGAGCCCACAUAGUCAAAGUUCCUGUCAAUUAGUAUUUAUGUGUUUUAUAACUUGAGUGCUUGUGAGACAGGGCCGAGUCCCUGAGAGAGUGAUUUCGGAAUGAGGUAUUAGCCGGCCCAGAGGACCUGGUGGUCUCUUGGUUCUUUAAAACUUGGAAUCUAGCAGGGGCGUUCCCCCUGCAGGGCCAAAAAUAUAAUAAAAAUGCCUUCUUUCUCUUCUUUUUUCCAAAAUUCCACCUCAACUUGCAUAAAAUAAGUUUCUUGAUAAAACAAAACCCCAUAUCCUUCACCGUGAUCAUCUCUACAUUUUAUAUACUUUCCAUGCUAGGAUUUGUUGAGUACCGUGCAUAAGUGUACUCAAACUUGUUUACAUUGUGCAGGAUUAAGGACUUUGGUGCCCUAACUUCAUUCUGCUUGUGGAAUGGGUAACCGCAACACUCUCCACGACCUAAGGGUAAAAACCCUAUUUCCUAUAAUUUUAUGCGUCUUUUAUUGUUUGGACACUAAUAUGUAGUGAGGAUUGUAUCAUCUACUAAUCCAAGGAAGGAUAUAGGUAAUCAAUAGGUUUUCUGGAAGGAAGACCCUAUAGGGAGGGUCCUUGAGUGGCAUGGACCGGAGGUAGCAUGCAACAGGUUGUGGGUGAGGCGGUGGCGCUGCUAGCCGUGGGCGGUGGUGGAGGUGGGCGUGACGGCAGAAUGCAACAGGUUGUGGGUGAGGCGGUGGCGCUGCUAGCGGUGGGCGGUGGUGGAGGUGGGCGUGACAACACCAGUGACGGUGAAAGAUGGCAGUGGGGAGACAAGCUAAAGAGAGGGAGGGGUGGCGCUGACCAAAGGAGAGGGUAGUGGAGGGUGGUAGCACAUUCGGUUGCUCAGCAGAAGCGGAACAAUGGCGUGGGGUUGGCACUUUGCGUUGUCUAGAGAGAGGUAGGCCGCACUUAGGGAUGAAAUCGAAUCGGGUUCGUAUGGAAUUGGAUUCGGAUAGCAUCUUUUACCACAUUUUAACUCAAAUAGGAAUACAAAUUCAGAUGUUCUCGAAAUAUGAAUACAAAAUGUAUGUCACGGAUUCGGAUAUGCAUUUGGAUAUUUACUCGAUUUAGAAGAUGAUAUUUACCUAUUUUCUUUAUUGAUGGUUUUUGAACCACAAAUUAUUAUACAAGUAGAGACUAAAGUAUUAAUACAUAACAGUGUGUACUAGAUCGCUUAUUAAAAAUAUCACAUUUAUCAAUAAUUAUUUCAAUAAUUUAACUAUAAAAAUAAAUAAAAAUUUGGAUAAAAAUAUAUAUUUUGAUAAAAGAGUAAAUUGCACCCACCAUACAACAACUUGUCAGGUGGGUGCCGAUUAAUCCAACAACUUGUAAAAUACUCAAUUUGGUACAAUAACUUGGUAGGUAGGUGCACGUUGGUCCAACAACUUGUAAAAUAUUUAAUUCAGGGCUAAAACUUCUCAGAUUAGUGCAUUUACAGUCCUAACCUUAUAACUUGACAUGUGAAUGUUCUUCCGGUCAAUCAUUCUUAAUUUUUGUCAAUAAAAGUUGUCGUUACUUUUUUCAACUAUGUAGAUUCUUAUUUUUUUCAUGACUUAAAUUGAAUAAUAUUUUAGAAUUACGCCAUUGGUAUUACUAAAGUCCAAAAUAGGAAUCCUGUGACCUUAUGUUUUUUUCUGCGAUUCUGUUCAUGUAUUCAAUGUAUGCAUACAAGCAUGUUUUACUCUGUUCUUUUAGCUCAUUUUCCCUUUCUAAACAAGUACAUGUAGCUUUAAAAAUAUCUAUGCCAAACUCCGAAAAGGAAUUGUUAGUAUGUAUUAAUAUAUUAGUUUUUAUGUAGUUGAACUAUGCAAAUAGUCAAAUAUUUAAAAAAACAGUGAGGUGAACUUAUCACUAUUGAAUAUGGAACUAAAUAUUCCUAAUUAAAAUUAUAGUAUUGUAUAAAAAUAAUUAACAUGAAGAUAUAACAUUAAUUUUCUAAACAUGGAAAGUUUUAAGUUUGGCCAAAUACAUUGCCAUUGUGAUGUCAGUAUCCAUGUUCAAAUAGUGCUCAAUAAUUUAUUCAUUAUAUACCUGACUUAGCAUUAGUAAAUAUGUUGCUCGUUAUAAUAUUUGGACUGCAGAUGCACCAAUUUAUCAAGUUAUUGCACUAAAUUGAACAUUUACAAGUUGUUGGGUCAAUCUGCACCCACCUAUCAAGUUACUGUAUUAGAUUGACCAUUUUACAAGUUGCUAGACUAAUCUGCACCCACCUGUCAAGUUAUUAUAUUAGAUUGAGCAUUUUACAAGUUGUUGGACUAAUUUGCACCCACCUGAUAAGUUGUUGUAUAGUGGGCGCAAUUUACUUUGGAUAAAAUAUAUAAACAUUUAUCAAAAAUAGUUAAAAACCAUAUAAAAAUAUAUUCAUCAAUAGGUAAAAUAGAAUAUUUAAAUUUAAACUCAAUCUUCAUAUAUCCUUCUUAUUAAAAUUAAUGAUAUUGGUUAUUAAAAUCAUAGAUAUCUUUAAAUAGUUUUGUGGAUACAUUAGUAAUAUUAAAAUUAAUACUAUUAGUCAUAGAGAUAACUUUUGAGUAGUUUCAUUGAUAUAUUGUCAUAAUUCAUAUUCAAAUUACUAUCAUUUGUCAUUAGUUAACAGAUACUGAUAAUUUCAUAUGGUCGGAUACGGAUAGUGUUGGGUAUUGUCGAAUAUGAAUGUGGAAUCGGAUAGAGAAAAUAAAAAAACAAAUUUGGAUGUAUCCAUUUUAGUACUACAUUACAUUUGAAUACGAAUACGGAAUCCAUAUUGAUGUUUUAACGGAUAUCGGAUAAUUAAUUUUGAUAUCUAGGUCCACAUUUCCACCCCUGGCCGCGCGAUGGCCCGUUCUUUAGGUGAUGGAAGAAAAUUUGUCGCUUCAGCUUAACCUGACCCCACGUCCCAUAGCUAUCGCGUAUCGCCGCGAGGAGCAUGGAAGGAAGCCGUUGGCGAGCGAGUCUGCCGCGUGCGUGUCACUGGAUUAGUAAGCACGGACAUGCGUGGAAUGGAUAGGAUCGGAUCCAGGGAUCAAGAUAAUUAAAACAGUUAGUUAUUGACUUGCACACAGACCCACAGGCUGGAGAUUAUUAGUACAAAAGGUGUUGAGCGAUAGCCGAGAUCGGUCGUACUCCAUCUGAGGCCGGGGAUCAGCAUUCCAUCGUACACUACGUGUGUUCAAUUCAGGGCUUUCAUCUGGAGGCGAUCGACCAGCAUUCCGCCUUCCUCUCGGCGGCGGCCGGAAGUUCGUUGUUGGUUGCUGCGGCGGUUCUUAUUCUGCCUUUGGUUACAGGUUCGUCGAUCGGCUCCAACCAUGCUCGUUCCUUGUUCUUUCUUUGGCGCCUCCUCUCCGCGUCUUGAUCAUCGGUUUCAUACUUUUAAUGUCGAUUCCCCCGAUAGAUUGCGAUUAUUGGCCUGCGCAUGAUCACCUCGCCGCCGCAGAUGCCGCCACCGCCGGCCGCUGCGUGUGUCGAAGUAGUAUGGGAUCACUGAAGAAAGAAAUCGGGGAAUAAUCAUAGGAUUAUUAGGUGAUCAACAAUAGAGUCCACUUUCAGAUAGAACUCGCCUUCAGAGAAUUGCAAUACCAACAUGCUGUACAUACUCCAGUCAUCCAGUAGUCUUCAAACAAUUUAGCCCUCCGUGCAUGUACAUGGUAAAUUGGCAAUGGCAUCCCCCAUACGCGGCGGGCCGGCGGCACGGCUACCCUCCUACGACGCACACACGGACCCGCACUAUGCAUUCUUCCGACACAUGGGCACGCGCUGCGGCGGCGGCGGCGAGGUGAUAGAUCAUGCGCGGUCCAGGACGCCACCUUCUGCGCGUGCACGCGCGAGGCAUGUACAGUAGUUACACGAAUCUCAGCUAGCGGCGAGAAGAAGGCGAUGUCGCUCGUGAGGUCACGAUCCUACCCGACGACUCCAGCGCAUCAUUCCUCUUCUUUUUCCGCCACGUUCCCCCCUCCCCGCAUUUUUUUUUUCUCUUGAGAACGAAGGAACUAGAAAACAGGUCAAGAAAUGUGCAUAUGUCAGCACCCACAGACCGAACUCAUCAACAAGUUGCCCACGGCCUGAUCGGGACCAAGCUGACGCAAACGCGCCACCAUAAGGAGUACGAGGCUGUAACUGUAAUUGGCUGGAUUUAGCUGACUCUCUUUCGAUUGACCCAUGUAACCAUAUACUAGUGCACGUGCACAGUUGUAAUCUUAGUUUGUCCUACAGAUACUAAAAGGAGAAUCUUUGCUUGCUCGCAAAAAUAAAAAGGAGCAUCUUUGCAUGCUACCGUAAAAUAGCAUGCAUACAUACAUCCAUGCAUGCACCGAUACAUACCCAUCACCAAUCUUCACAUCAAAAUGCACCUCAUCUGAUUGAGCAGCUAGCUACUCCUUCAUUUGGCUAUGUGAUUCUUUUGUGCUCUUUUCUAGAGACUGAACUAUAAAAAAAGAAUAAGGAUUCCAUGCAUGAAAGGAUACCGAGCUGUCAUAUCUGACUUUGAACUCACUGGAUAAGCACUCGAUCGACUACCUGCCCGAGACGCGUACAAAAGAUACUGCAUGCGUGAGUUGUCAGUUUGUAGCACUCGGUGGCAGCUUGGGGCACUGCCAAAGUGCGUAACUGCCAUAGAUGAGUUUUCUAGUGUAUGGCUGUCACUGUUCCUGCAUUGAGAGAAGAAUUCGUUAUAGUAUGCUACUCUACUCAGUUGUUGGACAUGUACCUUGUACUACUAGCUUGAUCGACCGACUAGGAGAUAUUUUCAGUCUUCUCUGACAUAAGUGGCUCAACUUUGUUUUCAAGGGUCAUAGUAAUAAUUUGAGCCAAUAUGAAAUACCUAUCUCGAUCAUGAUAGUCAUUAACCUCUCUGAAUAUGCCAUGGAUUUUGUCAAUAGCAGGCCAGUGGGCCCAGCUUCCCAUUUUGAUCUUCUUUACACACCCACGUACUCCCUCCAUCCUAAAUUGUAGAUCAUUUUAGUUUUUCUAGAUGCAUAGUUUUUACUUUGCACCUACAUAUAGUAUAUGUCUAUAUACAUAAUAAUAUCUAUGAAUCUAGAAAAACUAAAAUGAUCUACAAUUUGGAAUGGAGAGAGUACAUGUCAAUAAUCUGGAAAGUUUGCCUUUGCUCUUUGGAAUAAACUGACAGUUGUUAAAGGAGCUAGGUGCUGUUCUAGCACGAGUUAAACUUGUCUUCGUUCCAUACCGAUAGCGGUGUGCCCGUGCCUACCACUCCACCAUAUAGUGCGCAAUCAGCUAGAUCGGCCGGUUGCUGUAACCAUUUGGUACACUCCUAUUUUGACCUACACAAGUAGUGUACAUGCGUGAUGUUUCCUCGGUUAUGACCUGCCCGCAGGCACAGGCAUCCUCAAGGACUGGCUAUAAGAGGAUCGGGAGUGCUUGCCGCUUGACCCGGCGACAACUGAAGUUUGUGUUUGUGAUACACACCAUCGAAAUACAAGGAGAGGGAGCCAUGGGAGAAAAGAAGCCACGGGAUGGCCAUUCGGGGAAGCACAAGUAUGCCGUGGCGUGCUCCAUUAUCGGCUCCAUCAUCUCCAUCCUCAUGGGAUACGGUACUUAUACCUUGCAUGAACCCUAGCUCUUACAUAAAACCUGAACUCGAUCGUUGAUCGUUAUUCAGCACGUACUCAGUUUCAUCAGUAAUGUAUAGUAAUACACGUGCUGGGCGCAUGGAUACUGCAGACACGGGCGUGAUGAGCGGCGCGAUGCUGUUCAUCAAGGAGGACCUCAAGACCAACGACACGCAGGUGCAGGUCCUCGCGGGCAUCCUCAACGUCUGCGCCCUCGCCGGCUCCCUCACCGCCGGCCGCAUCUCCGACUGGAUCGGCCGCCGCCGCACCAUAUCUCUCGCGUCAUGCAUCUUCCUCGCCGGCUCGGCCCUCAUGGGCCUCGCGCCAAACUUCGGCACGCUCCUGGCGGGCCGCUGCGUCGCCGGCGUCGGCGUGGGCUACGCGCUAAUGAUCGCGCCGGUCUACGCGGCUGAGAUCUCGUCCACGCAGAUCCGCGGCUCGGUCACGUCGCUGCCCGAGAUCUGCAUCAGCUUCGGCAUCCUCAUAGGGUACGUGGCCAACUACCUGCUCGCCAAGCUGCCGCUGGUCUACGGCUGGCGCGCCAUGCUCGGGCUCGGCGCGCUGCCGAGCGCCGUGCUCGCCGUCGGCGUGCUCGCGAUGCCGGAGUCGCCCCGGUGGCUCGUCAUGCAAGGCCGCGUCGAGCAGGCCCUCGCCGUGCUCCGGCGGGUGUGCGACACGGACGGCGAGGCCGACGAGCGCAUCGCGGAGAUCAUGGUCGCGGCGGGGCUCGCGGAUGACGACGCCGCCGCGAGUGGUGCGCCCCACGAGCCGGGCAGUGUCGGCAAGGGCGUCUGGAAGGAGAUGUUCGUGCAACCGACGCCACCCGUGCGGCGCAUCCUCGUCGCGGCCUUCGGCGUCCACUUCUUCCAGCACCUGACGGGCAUCGAAGCCGUGGUGCUCUACAGCCCGCGCAUCUUCAAGGCGGCCGGCAUCGUCACCCGCAGCGAGAUCCUCGCGGCGACCAUCGGCGUGGGCGUGACCAAGACGGUGUUCAUCCUGACGGCCAUCCUGCUCGUGGACCGCGUCGGACGGAGGCCGCUAUACCUCUCCAGCCUGGCGGGCAUCAUCGCCUCGCUGGCCUGUCUCGGAGUCGGCCUCACCGUCGUCGAGCGCUCGGCGCCGCACCACUCCCCGGCGUGGGCGGUGGUGGUGUCCAUCUUGACGGUGUUCACCUUCAUAGCGUCCUUCUCCGUCGGCGUGGGACCCAUCACCUGGGCGUACAGCUCGGAGGUUUACCCGCUCCGGCUACGCGCGCAGGGCGCCAGCGUGGGCGUGGCCAUCAACCGCGUGAUGAACGCCGGCGUGUCCAUGACGUUCGUGUCGCUGUACAAGGCGGUCACCAUCGGCGGCGCCUUCUUCCUGUUCGCGGGGCUGGCCGUGCUGGCGGCUGCGUUCUUCUACUUCAUGUGCCCCGAGACGCAGGGCCGGCCGCUGGAGGAGAUAGAGGAGGUGUUCAGCCGCGGGUGGCGCGCACGGCUUCGGUCGCCGGCGGCAGUGGUGGAGCUUCCGGUGUCCAACGUCGUACCCGACGGCGAGGCGCGGCCGUGAUGCGAUUGCAAUAAACGUGCAUCACCCAUGUGUUUAUAUAUGUGUCAAGAUUUCUCAUUUGGCAGGGAAGAAUAAGCUGUUUACGGUUCAUUCAAAAGAUAAGAAAUACAGUUAGGUUAUAUUACGGUACAGUGAUUGCGCGCCUACGUUGGCAUGAUUAGCGUUUAGAAUUGAGUGCGUGAAGGUAAAUGAGACACGAGAGACGAGAGCGAAUGGAUGUUUGUAUUGAUCACAUGAAGUUUGUACAUAUAUAUAUAUAUAUAUAUAUAUAUAUAUAUAUAUAUAUAUAUAUAUAUAUAUAUAUAUAUACACACACAUGGUGAAGGGGUACCAUGAAGGGACAUGUCCAUUAGAACAUGUAACCGCUCAUACCCUUUGGAAUUAGAUCACAUGGUAAAUAUUCUCUAGCACUCUCCCUUGAUCAAUUCCAGUUUCAUCUGAUCAUUCUUUAGUUAUGUUGUUAAUUCCUCCAAGAAAAAUCGUGUGAAAAAAUCUGAGGAAUAUACGUAGGUAUAUAAAUAUAUAUAUAUAUAUACACCAGGUGAACUCCUCAAAAUCUAGUGGGAAAAAUGAGUAGAACCAUGGUACAUUAUUGUUCCAUAGAGACCUCCAUGAGAGAAGCUCAAAGUAUAGUCCAAAGAACAAUGGUAUGUCUGUAGCCAUCAUCUCUAAAAACCCCGGCAGGGAAAAAAUAAUGAUGAGACAUAUAGUUUAAGCUGAUAUUUCUCCAAGAUAAUCUUUUUUAGAAAAUCGGAUAAAUAUAUAGAUAUAUUAGGUAAACUCCUCAAAAACCCAAUGGGAAAAAUAAGGAGAAGAGCUUUGAUAUAUUGUUGCUCCAUUUAAACUCCUGUAAGUUAACUCAUAGUCUAGUUUAAAAGAACAACAGUUAUAUCAUAAAGUAUCAUCCUCAAAAACCCCGGCAGGGGAAAAUAGCUGAUACGACAUAAGACCUUGUGUCGAAGUAGCCUCAUUAAAAACUUUGAAUGAGAAACUCAAAAAGGGAAAAACUCGUAUAAGAAAAAGCACUACAUGAUGUAGAAACAUGUUAUGGAUCAAAAGAGGAUACUCCCCCUGAAUCACUAUGUUAUCUCAUACCAAUCUCUUAAACACAUUUGAAAAUGUGGAGUAAGGUAGAUACUAUGUAAAUAAUCUGUAGGAUUAUCGCAAUACUUAGUUUGCAAAAUGUUUAUUUCCUAAUAAUAGGGAUAAAACAUUUCUUAGGGCAAAAUGUCUAGUAACAUUGUGCUUCACAUAACUUGCAUCCAUCUAAACAACACAAAGUGAUAUUAUCUUCAAAGAUAAUAUGGUUGGUGAUUAGUAGAACCACAACCACCACGUAGCCUUAGUAUAUGGUUUAUCAUUCUGCAAAGCGUGUUGAUAGACAUCCAUGAAAAUGGCAGGUCCAACAAGUGCAUGAAGCAUAUCAGUGAUCUGGCACUUUGGGGAUAUUAUAUAGACAACCAAGAUAAGUAUAUCCAAUCAUAACUAGAUCAUGAGUUAUACUAAAGAACAUAACAUGAUCUCAUGUGCUAUUAGCUAGCAAAUCAUUGCAAAAACAAUAUCUGGCCGGAUGCUCUUGCAAGAUACAUUAGCAAAUCAUGGUAUGAGAGAAUUAAACAACCAUAGGAGAUAUGGAUAUGAUUCUUUUAUAUUAAAUUUCUUCAAUAUAUUUUGGAUAUAGACAACUCUGUGUCCAAGAUUCCUGAGAGAAGUGAUUUUGAAUUUAAAAUCUAAAAAGGAGAUUUGGUUCAAUUCAUAUCCUCCAUCUCGAACUCCAUCGAUAAGUAAUGUAUGUUUAGAAAUGUGCAGCAGGCACAUACACUAAACAUACAAUUCUUCAUGUAUCCCUUCGAAAGGAGGGAUUCACUAGGUCAAUUGUACCACAUUCGACCAGGAUGCUUUAAUCCAUGAAGUGACUUUCUAAGCAUUACACAAUAUAUGUUGCAAGUUUGUGUUUGGGGAUUAGGAUUUGGAUUCCUUGAGGACUCCAUAAAUAAACCUGAAUCUAGUGAGUACAUAGGCGUAUGUUGUCACAACAUCUAUUAAUUGCAUAGGUAGAUGAUUUUACUGCCCAUAAGUAUAAUAUCGAAAAUUUAUGAUUUGUAUAGGAGAAUAAAUAGCAUUGAAAACAAUGCUGUGGCGGAACCGCCCAAAUUAACCUGACUAAAAUGCAUAUAAGUCGCCUGACACACGAUUAUGCACUUUAAGCAACUCAACCUGGUCGACCGUCGGAUUUCAUCCGAUGAACCACUUACACAGGAUUGAGAAGCAUCGCUCACACGAAGGUGAGUAGCACAGAGAUUAAAACAUUCCCAUCACAUUGACUUAGUUCCCCAAAUUAUUACAUCAAAAUUUCUGAAAUUCAAGCAAAUUUGCAAGGUUCGAACAGUCAAAAUAAAACAAGCGGAAGCUAAACGCGGAUACAUGAUAUCAUGAUGAAGCCGAUCAUGACAUCAAAAAUCCCUACCCUCGCCGUCCGAGGAGGGAUCCCACUCGACUGUCCAGCCCGGAGGGAGCUGGGUAGGCCAAGUGGUGCCAGCAGCCAAACUAUUAACAUCACCUGAAAAGUUAAGCCACAACAAGGUUGAGCAACUAAUACUCAGCAAGACUGACCCGUCGGGUAAACUAUUUUACCCAGACCUAGACAUGCAAGGCUUUUCUAGCUCUGGGUUUGCUUUGCCAAAAGCGUCUAAAAUAGGUCCUUACUUUCAAUAUUUUAGCUCAAGUUCUAUGUUCUUUAUCCAGUCUAGAUUAGCAACUUAUACUAAGCAAGCAUAGUUUCCAAGCAAUUAAAGAACAAGCAUCAAAUUAAUAUCACCAUCAUGUUUCAUCAAUACUCAGUGCAGAAUAGCGAUCAAGUAGUCACAAACUAUGAGAGGCAGACGAAUUGAUUCGAGUUUAUUAACCAUGCAUGGCGAACCUAAUCUCACGACAUCCGCGCAACACGAGGGGUCCCUUCAUUUGCCAGCCGUCCCCGUCGAUCCCUUAGGCACGUGUCAGGGCCAACUGCCUUUGGCAUGCAAUGCUCCAUAAUCCCGGCCUCUGCUGUACUAUGACCGCACUCGCACCCACAUGAUGCACCAUGGGAACGACGUUCCAAGGACAGCCGGAGGGUAUGCCACGCCCCAGUUCAAUCAGGUACUAGGCUUCCCCAUCCCAUACUAGGUAUGAGAUUAGUACUUUCAAACACUUGAUCACGAACGCCGACACGUUUUGACCUUAGAUCAAUUUCAUUUAGACAAACGGGGAAAUCCACCAAGUAUCGAACAUAAGCCCGACCCCGUCCGUCGUCCUUAUAGUUGCAACAUAAAUAAAACAUUCAAUUCCUAUAACUCGCGAGUGACAGGAAAUCACUCGACUUUUACCAGAACCUAUUAAGCAUUGCAACUACUCGACCUUUAACAACUCAAAUCACGGUACUAAAUUCAUGCAUCUAUGGUUUCAAUCAACUCCUACAAACAUAAAUGCACAAUCAUAAGCAUCGCAAUUGGCAUAAGAGUAAAACAGGGAAUUCAUGCACCGGGGCUUGCCUUCAGGAAAAGUUAGUGGUUCCUCAGGGUCUUGAUCCGGUUCGGGCUCGCCCUCCAAGUGAUGAAGCUCCGCAGCGGGGUCUUCCUCCGGUGCCGGGUGGAGCUCGUAGGUUCCGUCGGUGAGAUUUGCUGCUAUACAACAUGCACAUGCAAGAGUUUAGUUGUAUUCGCGUGUGUACCCAACAAUGCAAGGCAUGGCUUAAAGAAAAAGGAGUUGCAACAACCACAUUCACUUCGACAAGGUUUAACUUUCUUUAACUUCAAACGAGUGUGGUCGGUUUAAAUUUGAGUUCGAAUUUGAUGGCGAUUGUGUACAUAUAUAGUUUCUUACAACCUAGAGUUGCAUAAAGAGAGUGAAAGGUUGCGUUUGGGUGGUUCAAGUGCAUUAGGAGAGUUACUUACUUCUAAAUGUUUUUAUGUACCUCUUAAAAUUUCAUUUUUUUAGCGUAUUAGGAUUUGUGCUUCCUAUGUUCCUUUAGGUUGAUUAGUUAACAAAAAAUGAUUUCAUAAGCAAACAGUGACUAAAGGUACUGAGAAAAUUACAGCACCUCACUUAAGCCAUCAAUGAGUUACUGUAAAAUUUUGGAAGCCCUUGGAUGACUCAAAAAGGAAUUACAUGCAUUACAUUAUUAAAGGUAGCAUGAGCUUAACUUUUUCUAUCUUCAAAGUUACAGUGAAACUGAGGAUGAAAUUUUACCAAUGUGUUAAGGGUGUGUUACAGGAGCUUUGGUGAAUUUUUCAUGAUUUUUGGAAAAGGGCAACUAUUUUCCGUAUUUUCCUUCUAAUUAAACAUGCUUAACAAGGAAGGUGUUUUUCUUUCUGAUUUGCACCACAACUUAUAUUUUUCCUGCAAACUAUAUAGCAAAAAACUUAACCCAACUGGUUUCACAUUUUUCUGAGCUGUGGAUCAAAACUUAUGCAAAAAGGAAGAUUUAAUCUUAGAUCCCCAAAAUAAAGUUAAAUCAGUGACAUUAAGUUCUAGAUCAGAGCCCUAAUCAUUUUUCUGAGCUUCUACACAUAGAAACAAGCAUCACAGAGUUGGUUUUACAUUUUUCUCACUUUUCUUCUGUUUAGUAGGAUUUAAAAGGCCUAAACCAUGAUUAAAAGCAUAGGGUAAACUUAUUUUUCUUAGGAACUAGACAGAGCAAGGAUUCCAACAAAAGUGGUUUGGUAUUUUUAUGAUUUUUCUACGAUUUACUGGGCAUUUACAAAGUUUAACCCUUUUUCUGCCUAUUAUUAAACUAAAAAGCCGAGGCAAACUUGCAUCCUACCCCCUGCGUCUACGGGUUAAACACGCAGGGGUCCCUGAGUUUUUGCGCCUAGGCCCCUGGAAAGAAUGGGGAAGACACAAUAUCGUCCGCGGGGGCGCGCGCGGCGGCGGUGAGGAAAUCCCUGGCGGUUCGCUGGCGGGGAUGAGGCAACAAGUUGCCGGAGAGGCUCAGGGGCUCACCUGAGCUCGAUUUGGCGGGGCUGGGGUGACAGAGAUGGCCAGCGGGGGUCAGAACGCGGCGGCGGCGGCCAAGCUUAGCGGGCGGCGGUGCAGGCGGCGUUCCGGCACACAACGGCAUCGGGGAGGCCAUGGGCUGCUCGGAGACUUGCGCGGAGGGGUGGCGAAGCGGGCGGAGAAGUUGUCGGAGUGCGGGGUGGCGCGGAGGUGUGAGCUCCACGGGAGCCUAGCAGCGACGCAGAGGACAAAGCAGAGGCGCGGUUGCGGGCGGUGGCAAAGGGUGGCGCUAACGGCGAGCGUGACCCUUUUAUAGGGCAGCGGUGGAGCGGAGGGUCAAGGUGGGGCUCCGGUGGUGGAAGGAUAAGUCCGGGGAGAGGUGGGUGCGCGGGCGAGGCAGCCAUUGGCCAGCGGUGCCAUUGGGCUGGGGAGACGGAGCUCCAGGCGCUCUCCUGCCGCGAUUGGCCUCGGGCGAAGCGUGUCGUGUGCCUCCGGUCUGUCGGGCGGCCGAAGUGGAGGGCCACGGCCUGGGUUGGGUGAGCGGGCGGAGGCACGGGACAUCGACGGCGUGGCGGCUUCUCCGGCGGGCGGGCGACGCGUGGGUUGGGUGGAGCAGAUGCGCGGCCAGCGGUUGGCCAGCCCGGCGUUCGCCCCGUCCUGUCGUAGGUGCGGGUUGGGCGCCGUGGCUCUCGCCCUGUCACUGUCUCACUGCAGAUAGGGCGCCAGCGAGCUGCCGGUGGCCGGCGGCCAUGCGGUGCGCGGGCAAAGAUGCCCCGGGCGCACGGGCGUCGAUGUCACUUCGGGCAGUAAGCCCGACCGGCUUUGGGAGCUCCUUUCUCUAGAUUUUUAAACUAAACUUUCAAAACUCCUUUAAGCAAACUUGUUCAACUCUGGGUGUAGUUCAAACUUGUUUUAAGGUAUUUGUUCAAAUUUGGAAAGGAUUUGGAGAUACCUCGAGCCAAAGUUUGCCAAAAAUCUGGAAAUCCAGACUUAAGUCAAUUUAGCCGGCGAGGUGGAAAAUCAGGGGUUUAGCUAUCUCUGACUCGAUUUUAGGAGAGCUUCUGAGUUGAAUUAGACUUAAGCGUUAUUGAAGGAGUUGCUCUCAAAACUGAGGACUUCAUCUUCUAUUUAGGGUUUUUCUUGAGUUUAAUUCAAAAAUUUGGAGGAACGCCCUCGCGAAGAGGUGCACUCUGAGCAGUUUUCCAGACUUAGUGUUGUAGCGCCCAGCGGCUGAGUUGACUGUUUUACCCAACUUUGACCAAGAUUUUGAACAGGCUCGGAUUCGAUUUGGACCUGGAUCAUUGAAACAAAGUUGGAACACACUCGAGGGACUACAACUUUCAUUAAGAGCUUGACUUGAGUUUAGAUAUGAAGUCAUGAGAUAACAGGUUGCAAAGUUGGAGGAAAACUUGAAUUCCAGGACUUAGGUGGUUUAUAGGGUUCUUUAAUACUCCGACUUUGAUUCCUGUUUUGACUUCCUCCCACUCCGAAUUAGGCAAAGUGCCUUUAACACAAGUUGUUUGAAAUUAAAAGUUUUACAACUCUUAUUUGGGCAAAAAUUUAAGUUUGCAUAUAAAAUCUCAAGUUUUAUUUCGAACUCCAAAAAGAGCUUCUUAGGGUUAAAAUGGACAUUUCACUUCUUUGCUUAGUGACUAACCACUUGUUUAGAUGUACAAGUACUUAAUUUAGGUAGAGUUGUUACAAAUGCUUGAGCUUUGUGUAAAACCCUUGUUGCUGCUAGCCUUGCUUCUCACCACCAUAUUGUUACCAAAUCCAUUUUUGGAUGAAAACAAAUUUGUAUCCACAGUAAAGAUACCAUGAAAUGUUGAACAUAGUCCAAACACUUUUUCAGGUGAGCGAGGCUAUCUCUGCUUCAUUGCAUCACUCUACAGGAUCUAGUUUGAGCACGAAGGUGCUCUGCCAUGGCCAUGGUCCAUUGGAUCAUUUGGGAGUGUAUAUACAAUUUGCUGAGAAGUAAGUGUCGACACAUGUAGCCUUUAAAUAAUAUAAUUCUCCAGUUGACCAGAUGUCUAUACCUUAUGCACCCUUAUGAUUCAUCAUGACUUCCCGAAAUGAGAAUCAGGGGCUUCCGAUAUCCCAGCCUCAGUAUUGUGCACCACUGAGCUAGGUCAUGAAUGUCUUCCAUUCACAGGAUAAUCAUAAUCCUUUAGGUAUCUACCAAUAGUAGGUUGGUUGCCAAUGAAAGGUUGGUCUGCAUUUACUAUCUUAGAAGGUCUAGCCUUUAGUUGCUUGCAAGCAGCUUAAUCCCAAUUUGUAACCAUACUUCUCCCCCUCUUAUUUACAACGGUGAUUGUAAUAGGGAGUUGAGUGGUUUUACAUGGUACCUCCACUCUUUCUGGCACUACAUAGGAUCAAUAAGAUUUUAUGACACCUCAUAGUAAAUGCAUAUGGCAGUUGAUUCGCAAUUUGUUGCAAAUCAUUGAACCAGAAGGGUUCGACUUUAGUACGGGAUCCUAAGCCUGAAAUGCUUAAUGCAUUCCAAUAAAUUUCUUGGCAUUGUUUCUAGUACUUGAAAUCUCCCCCCUAAUGCCUAGAAAUGCUCAUGAUUAAAAUACAGCCAGCGUACGAGGCGUAAAUAGAUCCUCAUAAAGAGGUUCUAAAUACUUAAUGAUCGACGAAGAGUGAAAUCUCACACAGAUCCUCAGUUUCCUGUGUGCCCAUAGAUGUACGCUGUGGUGGUGAGAUUGGGAUGUUUUAGAAGAAAAACACACCCAAUGUAUGCAAAUGGAAAAUACUUCAUGGAUUCCCACAUACGAAAAGUAUAGGAGAAUUGAUAAAUGCAGUUAUACAGAAGUUAGGAGCAUGUAAAACUACCUGACUCCAACAAAAGGUUGGAAAUGGCAAUUCACUAGUGAUGGUCAUGUGAUAAUCUUACUUGUCUGAAUCAUAGAUUCAUCAUAUCCGAUGUGGAUAUAAUUCUGAAUACAUAGGCAAUACAAUCAUCAUUGUAAGCACAAAAGGUAAAUUCAAUAAUGUGUAGGAUAAUGUGCCCAAAAAUUGAGCUAUUAUUACUGCAUGGUUUUGUGUUGUCAGUAGGACACAUUGGAAGUUAUCAUAUAGAUGCACCUUAGAACCAUGUAAUGCCUUACAUGUCCAUACAAUCUUUGUAUUAGACCACACUUGUUCUCUUGAAGGAGUUCAAGGAACUUAAGACAUUCAAAUCUGAUUUUAAGAUAAGAGGGACAUAAAAUCUUGUGCCCAGUGGUACUUGUAGAGUAUCCAUGCUACGGGAAAAAUAAUGACCAAUAGAAUUGCCUAUAAUUUUUCACUUCAUCCCAAUGAUAGAAUGGCCAAGUCGAGCAUACCAGGUGUGGUAUGCAUCAAAGGCAUGAAAAAUUAUAUCAAAUGCAACAUGUUGUACGGGAAGAUGUAUGUAGAAUCCAAUCCAAGAGAAAUGUUUCUCAUAAAGACAUGCCAUAUCAAUUACUAUCAUCUUGUGUUUCCACAUGAUACAAACUUUUAUGGAUAUUUCUAUAAUAUGGUAAGAUGCGAGUCAAAUCAAGACAUAGUGAAACAUCCUAGAUGAAUUUAGUACCAUAGGGAGCAUGAUAGUGGACUAUCAUUACAUUGCAUGGAGCGAUUGUCAAAAUAUUCCCUCCUCUUUUCAAAGGAAUGUGAGAAUAUUUUAUUUCCCUAAUUAUAGAGGUUGUGGUUCAAUUGGCCACAAGGCAUAUUUCUUCCUCAAUUGGAAUAGUUCUCGUACAAAUCUAUAUAGGACAAGAAUUUAAUGAAAUUCUUAUCAAAUAUACAGAAACAUAAUAUUGAACAUCCAAUACGAAGGUGUGACAUUCCAAUAUAUACGGAUUUGUACAACUCAAAAGUCAUGAGUUUGUACUCCCCUAAUCACAACCGAGUUUGUAGAAUAGCAGUUAUGAAUAAGUUUGUUCAACUCAAAUAGCAUGAGUUUGAACAUAUUACAACAUCAUUAAAUGGGACAUUAAUGACAAUGAGAUCAUGUGAAAUUUCAAAGUGGAUCAUUUGAAUAGUACUCAGUGAGCAUGUCAUCCAACAAAGUGGGGUCCUCUUAGGAAAGAAAAGUGUUGUUUCUUGAUCCAAUAGGAGCCACAAGUAACCAAAAAAUGUCUUAGUUGUAAGAUUUGAAGGGUGCUUCAUAUCUUGACUCUGAUAAGUACUUUGCAUCCAUUAGGGAGUGAUGGUACAUGAUUAGGUGCUUUGGCAUUAACACUAUAUCAAAAUGUAUAGUGUAACCACAUUUAUGACAAGGAGUUGACAUUCAAAUUGUCCUUCUCUUUCUAGUGUGCAUUGGACAUUUGCCUCUUGUUGUAUUUGCAUUUAUUAGUCGGGUUCGUAGAUUAGCAGAAGUAUCAAUCCAUUGAACCACAUGUUAUUCUUAAUAUUAUUCUAAACACUAUGAACCUCAGGAGAGAGGCGCCGCACAAUUGGGCAUUGAUGAUGAUUCUUCAAAAGGAGUUCACUAUACUAUUCAUCAUGUGUUUUGAAUGAAUGGAGAAUGAUGCUGAUAGUUUGCAAAAUUUCAACUUCGAGCAAAAGUUAUGGACGGCAAGGUUGUAGUCUGUAAUAUUUUAAAAAUAUUAUAGACUUACAAGGUUCCACUCAUAAGGCAAUAGGUAUUAUGAGUUCCUUUUCUAUUCAUUGUGCGCUUGUAGAGCUAGUCGCAAAGCACAUAGGCUUGUUUCCAAUAGGUACUCAUGUGUGAGAUCCUUAUGGAUGUAGAACCUUAAAAGAAAGAGAGCAUCACACUUCUUCUAGAUGUGAAGAUGUGGAUCCCCAUAUUGGGUUCACUAAUCACUUGUAGUAGUCCAUGGAAUGCAAAAGUGAUUUUGAUAUCUAAUGCACAUGUAGGAUAAUCAGGCCCAUCGAGCGAGUCCAUCAAACUCUAGAAAUAAUUAUCCUUGACAUGGCAUAAACAUUCAUUUCAAUUAAUUCAUAGUAGGUAAAUUAAGAACCACAUUGGUGAUGUUGUAACAUUGAUGCAAAAUAUGAAAACAUUGUAUCUUCUUAUGUUGGAGAAUUGGCAGUAUCACAAAGGUGAACCCCAUAAUUGAGUCAUAUUUUAAAAAUUGGUGGACACAAUGUAGAUAGUCUCCAUGUAAUGAAACAAUGGAGUAGAUCUCCCAGUAGUAGGCAAGAACCUUGCUGCCUAAAAGCAUGGCCUCUAGGCUGAUAUAUUCAAAAGGAACAUACCGCAACCGAUGCUUAGGUCUCCACUACCCUGUUCUUGACCAAAUUUCAAAAAUAAGAUGGUAAUCACCAUAAAGGUGUAUACCAAACUCAUAUGUACAAAACAUUUAUUUGGGAGAACACAUAUAGGUAAUUAUCAUAAGAUGUAGACCUCUUAGUGAUGGGAAAGUAAUAUGCUGUCUAAAAGCUUGGUCUCAGGGCAAAUAAAUCUUGGAGAAGAACAUAUUGCAGCUAAUGCCUAGAUCUCCAUCAUGUGUUUUCAAUCCCAAGUUGAAGACAUGUAGUAUAUUUUGCAUCGAAUUUAUCAUUAAUCAAGAAGAACUUAAUUAAGAGAAUUGUAAUAUGUUAAAAUGGAAUUUAGAUAAAUUACAAGAUUAACAUGAUUGAUAUAAGUUUCUGGUCUAAUAAUCAAUGCAUAGGAAUGCAUAGGAGUAAAAGUGCUCUACAAAUACUGUUAAAACAGGAUUAUUUAAACACAGAUAGUACUAUGAAAAUUUCAGCGCAAAAUAUUAGAAACCACAUGAGGCUUAAUGUAAAAAGCUGCUAAAAAUAAAGAAAACAAGUAAAUGCCAUUUGGGCCGAGACAAACAAGGCCUCAACCCGAAACGAUUUCCACAGCCCAAGCAAAUUUGGCUCAGCUUGGUGGCCCAUUAUAAAAAGGCAUGGGGAAGGGCGGUUAGGGUUUCGCACCCUCCACGUGGUACUGGCCGCUGCCACCAUCUUGGGUGUAAGAACACCACCGCCAGUGUUGACGACAGUUAGCACAUCAAUUUAUGAACCACAAGCAUACAGAUCAGUUGUAGCUCUUCCCUUAGAGUAAUCCCCUAAGGUUUAUCAAUCCGUGGAACAAAUGGAUUUGCACACUUAACUAAGAACUAAUCUAUGUAACUAAAGGUUCUUUGUAUAUGAUAAGAUUGAUCUAACAAAAGAACUAGUGACUUAGAUUAAAGCAGAUAGAGAGUAUGAAUGUAAACAAGAUAGAUAAAACGCUUGUCCUAGGGAUCUAGGAUCACUUGUUGAUGUAAUCACCAUGCAUGAAAGAACUGGAUCUAAGUGUUAUUGUGAGUCGAUGUGAACCAUGUCCAACACUUUCCCUCUCGCACGUUGUCACUACAUGAGGGUACUCAAAUAUUGAACGAUAAGAACAUGACUUGAUGAUCAUUCUAGGUAAGCAAAUAAGCAACCCAAACUAGCGCUGACCAGCCACUACAUGAAAGAGCAUCAUCAAGAUUGUAACAUCCUAUCUAAUUAGCAAAGAAAAUCAAGGGUUAUCAAAGUUAUUAAGCAAACAAAUAACCUUUUAACUCACUUUGGUCACUUAUCAAAUUCCAAAUGCACCUUAAUUUUCUAAGUGUUGAAAAUGUCCUAAAAAGCACUAAUUUGGGGGUAGAAGUUCAAAACCAAAUUUUAUAUAAGAACUUAACUUUUGGCCUUUAUGAAAGUUGUAGAACUUUUGAAAAAAGAAAACUUUUGUUAUUUGAGCUUUUGCUGAUUUUGAGGGGAAGCCCUUCAAAUUUUCAAAUCCAAAUCAGCAAAAUUUGGGGACAAAUUCAAAAACUAGCAAGCCGGCGUUCCACCAAAUUUCCACCUUGUUUAUCUCAAUUUUUGUUGAGAAUUCGAAUAAUAAGCUUUUGUAAAAGUUGUAGAGUAUAAUUUGAAAAAAAAACUUUUACAUUUGGAAAAUUUGAAGUUAAAUUAAAAUUUUGGAGGAAAUUUGCCCCAAGUCACUGCCCCCACACACCACGCAUGCACCCAUGUGCGUCGCGAUUCUUGUGAUCGCGCAUGACAUGUUUCGGUGUGCCACGUCGCGUCACGCCGUUCGCACAGCGCCGCCAGUGAUGGGACGGGAUGUCCCCAACGUCGCCCAACCGUGUGCCACGUAAUCCCACCCCACCCCAUGCCACAUCUCCCCUGGCCAGUGGCCAUCGCGCGCCCAUGCGCCCCGGCUAAAGGCCACCGCCACGUUGCUGCCCAACCAGUGCCAUCGCUGAUGUGACCAGACGAGCGUGCCGUCUCACCCACUCCACGCGCGAGGCAAACUAGAUCUUCCGCACGAACAUCCCAGCCAGCCAGUCCCCACCGUUCACCCACGUGCACACGCCGCAUCGGCCAACCACCGCGCCACGCGUCUACUCCGCCACUCCCCAGCCAGCUUCGUGCUUGCCAAUAGCACGCUGGCCUUAUCACUGCCUCGCUCGCUCGCCCACACUACGGUGCAGCUAUAAAAGCAGCCCCCGAGCUCACCGGCGCUGCCCUCCGCCUCUCCUGUCUGCACCGGAGCUCCGCCGCGCCCGCCCUGCCCCUUACCGACGAGCGCCACCCUCCCGCCCUCGCCAGAGCCCCCAGAACCCUUCCUAGCACAACACGCACCCCACUCAACCCUCCCGAGCCAUCCCCCAGCCUCCCCCGCCUUCGCUAUCGCCAGAGCAGGAGCUCCCCCGCUGCAGCUGCCACCUCACCGUCGCCAGCUGCCGAUCAUCCUCCACCCAUAAGUCCACAGCGCACUGACUCGCGGUGAGUCACUAAUGACGCCCAUAGCUUUCCCCCACCCCCUCACCGCCGCCGCUCGCCGUAAUUUCAUCGGAGAUGCCGCCGGCCAAGUCAAGGACCAAAUCGCUUAGCCCCAAUUCUUUGUAGGGUUAAAACUGUAAAACACCAGGACCUCUUUGUGAAUGUUUAAAAGUUGACGGGACCCCUCUGUAAAAUGUAUUUGACCUUUUCUGAAUUAAAUUGGUUUAAAAUGGCUGAAACUUUGGAUAUCUAUACGAAAAUGUAGAAAAAUGCUUAAAAUACAAAUCCAACUUUGUUAGACUCCAUGUUGUGUAGUUUCACUGAAAAAUAUUUGUAGACUUUUUAUUGUUAUGUAUUUCACUAUAGGAGUUAUUUUGUGUAUAAGCCAAUAAAUGUUGUAUAAAUCAUAGAAAAAUAAAAAUGUGAAACCACCUCUAUUAGUUCAAUUUUGACAUGCUUGUUCUUGAUUUGAAUUUUGCAACACCUGUUUAGUUGAUGAACUUACUGAUUUGAGUCAAAUGCUUGAAUGCUAAGUUUAAUCUUAUUAUUUGCACUAUAAAUGGAAGAAAAUAGAUAAAAAUGCAAGAUCACUUUUGUUGGGUUCCUAAUACAUCUUUCUCACAAGGAAAAAUACUAGUUUCUGUGUGCUACAUGUUUUACCUUGCUUAAAUAAAUGCAUGUGGUUUAAUACACUUAAAAUAUGAUAAAUAGUUUUCGUGCUCAAUAAAUCCUAGAAAAUUUACAUUAGCCUUUGUUAAGGCUUGGAAACCUUCUGUAAAAUUUGUAGAUUCAGGUUGUCCCUGAAACUUGGGUUAAAACUAGAUCUUUAGAUUGUGCCAUAGGGUACUGUUUGGUUUUUAAUAAAAUUUUGUGAAAAUCAAAUGCAUCCCAAAUUUUUACAGUAAAUCACUGAUGUGAUUAGGAGGCUUCUGUAAAAACUUCAGCACCAUAUCUUAUUAGAUGCUACCAGAAGUAUUUAUUGAAGUUAAUAGCUAGUUAAAUGGAAAAAUAACAAAUAUUAAAUAGGAAGGGUAGAAUGGUAAUUCCUAGUUUGAGUUAGUUUAAAAUUCAAAACCAUGAUGAAUUUCUAAAUGCAUGUUGAGCAACCCUAAAAUGGCCCCACCUUUCUUUUAUGAAAUUUAAGUGGCUAAAACUUUAUAUGUGUACACAAUCACCAUCAAGUCAACCCCAAGUUUAAAUCGCAACACAUUUUACUUUGCAAAGAAAAAAUAGUUCGAAAUCUUGUCUAGGUGAGUGUGGUCGAAAUGCAAUUUACACUUCUGCAAUAAUUCAUGGAAUGCAUCUUGCAUGUGAAAGCAUGAAAACUUGAACUGGUGCAUGUGCAUCUCGUGUAGAAGCGAAUCUUGUCGACGGGAUGUACGAGCUCCUUCCGGCAGCUGAGGAGGAGCCAUCUGCAGAGUUGCACCAGAUCGAGGCUGAGCAAGACCCCAGUCAAGCUUCCAACAACCCGCAAACUAACCUAGUACAGGAAAGCAAGCCCCGAAGCAUAAACUUGUUUUCUAAAGCUUGUGCAAUAUUUCUAUUACUUAUGUUUGUGAAUUAAGUUUAUAGGCGUUGCUUGAAACCUUAGUUGUAUGAUCCUAGGUGCCUAUGUUCUGAAUACUAGUAUGUUAAGUUAAGUAGUGCAAUGCUAAAUAGGGACAUGGUACAAGUCGAGUGAUUUCCUAUCACUCGCGAGCUAUAGGAGUUGCCUGUUUACUUAUGCUGAAAUCAUAAGGUUGAUGGGCGGGGCUGGGCACUUGGUUCUGAAUUGGUGGAUUGCCCUGCCUGUAUAGAAGUGUUUGAAAGUACAAAACUCAUACUGAGUAUGGGAUCGGGAAGCCUAAUACCUGACUGAACUAGGGCGCGGACGUACUCCCCGCUCUCUCUGGAACCGGGUUCCCUAAUGCAUCAUGUGGGUACAAGUGCAGUCAUGGUACGGUGACUUUCUGGGACUGUGGGGCCUUGUAUCCAAGGGAAGUGGGCCCUGUCCAUAUGCCUGGGGAUUAAUGGGGAUGGCUGACAUAUGUGGACCCGAUGUGAUACGCAUUUGUCGUGGGUUUAGGUUCACCUUGGAAGGUUAAGAAACUCGAUUCGAAUCAUUUGCCUCCCACAGUUUGGGACUGCUUGAUCACUAUGCUGCACUGAGUAAGAAGUGGAACAAGUAUGAGGAUAAAUACUGAUGCUUGAUUUAAAUUGCUUGUUUCACCAUGCUUGUUUAGAAUAAGUGCUUACCUAGAAAGGAUAAUCAACUAGAACCUGAUACUAAAAAUUGAAAGUAAGGAUCUACUUUAGAUGCUUUUGGCAAAACCAACCCCUCAGCCAAAAUGCCUUACAUGUCUAGGAGUCGGUGGAGUAGUUACCACCUGAUGGGUAAGUCUUGUUCAGUAUUAGUAUACUCAGUCUUGCUUGUGGCUAUGUUUUCAGGAAACGUUGAUUUUGAGGAUAUGGUAGCCAGUUUAACUUGGCCCACUCAACUCCCUCCGGGUUGGAUGGUCGAGUGGAACUCGUCCUCGGUUGGCGAGAAAUGUGGUGAUUGAUAUCAUGGCAGGCUUCACCAUGGUAUUUUGUAUCGACGUUAGGCCUAUCGUUGUUUUCCGCUGCUUUUGAACUCUGAACACUACUUUUAUGCUUUUGAACUUUCGGCUUGUAAUAACUUAAUUUGGAGACCUGUAAUAAUUAUCUGGAUUGUUGUAAUCUCUGGACUCGCCUUCGUGUGAGUAUGCUUUGUUUCAAUCCGAGACAAGUGGUUUAUCGGGUGAAACCCGACAGACUACCAUUUUAACUUGAUUAAAGUGUCUGCCUGCAUAUGAGGCGAAGUUGAGUACACUUUAGCCGAGUUAAUUUAGGUGGUUCUGCCACAAAGAUAUGAUAAAUAACAAAUAGAUUUUAAAUAAGAGGUUCUGCGAGUACAAAUCAAGAUCUCCAUAGAUCCAAUCUUCUCUCCGUUUCGCGUGACCUCUCAUAGAUCCAAUCUUCUCUCCGUUUUUCCUCCUUAUGGUGGUGGGUGGAUGGUGUUUACGUGGUGUUUUCUCCUCUCUCUCAACUCCCUCUUCCUAGAAGUUCAUGUGGGGGUAUUUAUAGUCUCCCAUAGGCAGCGGCUCUGGGUCAAUUUUGGUGAAAAAACCCUAGACAUCAUCGUAGACUUCACGCUAAAGAAAUGGGAGGUCGACCGGACCCUGCAAUGGGCCAGGUUGAUCGGCCCAGAGGGUCCUAGGCCGAUCAGCCUGGGCCCUUCUGGUCCUCUCCUUCCUCGUGCUGGUUUCCCUCAACGACCCAUGUCCAAAUAUCCAUUAAGCUCUGUAUGCAAACCCCCUUGAUUAUGUCGUAUUUCUUUUUAUCAUGCAAUAUAGUCCAAAAUAUAACACAUAUACAAUAAUGGGGUUAUUUCAGGUGUCAUGUGGUGGGUUAAUAUAAGAUUAAGCAUGAAAAAAUUAGUUAAAUAGCACUAAAAGUGUGUCAAUAAUGAGCGUCAACAAUCCCCCCACGUUUAGCUCUUGCUUGUCCUCGAGCAAGUCAGGGGACUAUAAACUUCUCCAAUAGGGUGGAACAAAGAUCUUGAAUAAACCUGAGCAACUUCUCCAGUAGGAUUGAACAAAGAUCUUGAACUAAACCUGAGCAAGUGAGUCAAGUACCUAGCCUUCAAACAUAAGAUUAGAGGAGCAACAAAGAUAAUCAAAAUAUGGGUAUUCAAAGAUUUAUCUAAGCAAAGAUUCCUCACAGCUACUAUUAAGAUCAAGUAACUUCAAGGAUCAGCUACACUUACUUUCUAGCUUUCUUCAAAGUAUUUUUCUUUUGGCAUAAAACAAUCUCCCUACAACAAAAUUAAAAUAAGAAUUCUUUUCCAGGUGCUUACAUGUCGCUCAAAUGAAUGGUGGCUAUCCUACCAGUAUGCAAGCUCUCAUUUCUCAAAAAUCACUCAAUUAAAUGGUGGAGCUUGGGUAAGGCUAGCUAGAAUUAACACUUAUAUUAUCCAAUUAAAAAAAUUCUCUAGCGGUUGUCUACCUUCUAAGCCAUUGAUCAUAAGAAUAUCCACAUAAUGUGAGGUUUUAAGGAUGAGAAGAUAUAGAAUGGUGGACAAGUGCAAAGGCAAAUAAAAUAGUGACUCUGAGGCACAACCGAUGUCCUUGUCAUUGGAUUGCACAUGGUUGGAAUGAAAAUCUAUUCCGUAAACAAGUUCAUCUUUUCUUUGCACCUCUCUUGAUCUUCAUGACAGUAAAAACUCCUCGUUUAUUUCUUUUUCUUCUAUUAUUUCUUUUUCUGUUUCUCAAUACUUUUAUUUCUUUCCUUCUUUCUUCUAUUAUUUCUUUUUUUGUUUCUCAAUACUUUUCUUUCUUUCUUUCUUUCUUUAUCUCUUCUCCGAACCUCCUCUGAACACCACAGCAUAAAAAUUAGUUUUCGAUCCUUCUAGAGGCCUUCCAAGAAUUUGCUGCGUGGAAACCGAGGCAAGGAGACCCCAGGCCGAUCGGCCUAGAGGGGACCAGGCUGAUCGGCCUGGCCUCUCUUUUCCUCCAAUCUGGCUCAACUUUCUGGUGAAACUUCCUUUUCUUGCACACUUCCAUAUUUUUCAUAAAGCUCAACCAGAAAUAGAACAGAUCUUCGAAUAUUGGGUUGUAUUCAAGGAAUAGGUAAUAAAAGUAAGAAAUAUUUGGUUCAAGUUUAGGAAUUCAGUAGAAAAUAUGAUUGUUCCAGUAAAGAACUCUCAUUACUGAAUAUUGACAAGGCUAGAAAUCAGAGAUGGCGAAUUAAAGUAGAAUUAAAGGGUAUCAUCAAUGCUCAGAAUUAAAGCAGACCAAGAGAGAGCGAUCGUAACUCAAUUCAAAGCGUCAAAUCUACUUAUGGUGGUAUGAAUUAAUCCUUUUAGGCAUUGGUUGGCUAGGAUAAAUAAUAACUCUCAACCUGGUUAAAAAACUUGAUCAAUCCUAUUUUUGCAGAGGUUUUAGAUAAGCAAUAAAAUUUUAAAUUACCUCCAAUUCAAGCGUUACUCAUAAAGCAUAAUCAAAACCAAAGCACUUGAUCAUCAUAAAGCAAGGGCAUUGCGUAAACAAAUCAGUUACUAAACUCCACAACUAAAAUUUAGAAUUCAAGACAAAGCUCAUGAUCCAAAGUUGUAAAGGCAAAAUAAAAUACAAGCAAACCAAGGUAGACACUAAAAACACUCGCACAAUCCUCGAUUUUAUUCAUGCUUCUUCUCACAAAGAUGCUAAAGUAGCGAUUUAGGCCUAAGUCUUCCUAGAAGCUUAAGAAGACUACUACUUUAUCUACUUUUGAUUGAAAAAAACUAAUUUAGACUCUCACACAACUCGACUCGACCAAACUAGAUCCAAAAACUCCUUACGAGUGGCGAUUGUUAGAUUUAGUAGCCCGGCAGUCCACCAAGGGGUUACCCAAGUGGUAGAUUUGUAGGCAGAUAGGAUCGCAAGACCAAGAACUCGAAGGUGAUCAAGAGAACAUGAAGGUUUAGACAGGUUUAGGCCUCCAGAUAGUAAUACCCUACGUCUUGUGUUUUGCUGGAUUGUAUUGCUGGUAUUGUUUGCGAAGAGUUGACAUGCCCUAGGAAGGCACCCUUGGCUGCCUUACAUAGGCUGAUGACCUAGGGUUACAAGUAUGUUUGAAUCUAAUCUAAUUGGUUGUUACAUGGAAAGCAAUCUGAGUCAGAUUAUAAAACGUAUCCCGUAAUAUCCAGGCUGAUUUGAAUCGUCCGGCCUCCUUGACUUGUGCUCCAAGUAUCUUGACGUCCUUGGCCCACAUGUUCUGUAGGGAUACGAGGUAGGCUAUGCUAGCGUAAAACAAAAAUUUUCUACCGUGUAAACCAGAAAAACUGUUGUAUAUGGAUCACGGGAUUACCACUCGAUGCAUUGGUGCGGAAGAUGUAGAAUUGCGUCAGGGCAGCGAAGUCCAUCAGCGUAGUCGAACACGUAGUCGAUCACGUCGACGUCGAGCAGCUCGUCCACGUACAGCGAGGUCGUCCUUGUGCCGCGGCUCAUCAUGGCUCGUCGUGGCUCGUCGGCGGCUCGUCCAAGUGCUACAGGUGCAACACCUCCAAGGUAUCCACACGUGCAGGGAGGAAGCGUCGCAAGCUGGACUGCUAGGUCCGCGAAUUGCAACAGGGCGAGGGCAUGGGAGGUGCGGCGGCUGACGUUCGGCCAAAAGGAUUGAAAUUCUAGGGCGCCCCACCCCUUUAUUUAUAGAGGUUCCUGACAUUCCUCUAGGUCCAAAGCCCAUUAGUACUUCUAAACCUGAUCCAACUCGGAUCAUAUCCGAAUUGGACUUCUAGCCCCUUAAGUGUAUGACCCUAUGGGUUCAGAUACGUAUAGACAUGGCCCGAGUACUCGUACUCAGCCAAAUAAUCGGUAGCGACCUCUAGCAAAACGUCCCAACUCCUAUACACACACGAAGAAGCUCCAUACUUGUGGUCGUGGACCGUUUAACUGGCUCAUUUCAUUCCUCUAUCUCACCCUUUUAGCUGUAUACCCUAUCUUGUAUCCAGUAGUAAGACUAUAACUCCCCAUCUCAUCCUUCUGCUUAGACUGGCUUUCUCUCCCUCCUUUUCCUCCACUCUCCCGUUAACGAGGUCGAGUGCCAGCUUACCGCGGAGGAUUAAUGGGCAGGUGCUUUUUCGAGUGAGUUGGCACAGGAGAAGAAGUAAGCAAAUAGGGCAAACUGCAUUCAAGACCCACCAAGGCCAUUUCGAAUACAAGGUCAUGCCAUUUGGUCUGACCAACGCACCGGCCACGUUCAACAAUUUGAUGAACAUGGUAUUCAAACCACUGCUGAGAAGGUUUGUACUCGUAUUCUUCGACGAUAUCCUGGUGUACAGUGAAGGGUUAGAAUCACAUGGUGACCACCUCAGGCUAAUGCUCCCCCUUCUACUUUAUUUGAGUUAGGCAGAGAUUUACAUCUGUGGUUUACGCCCAUUAAUGCGGUACGUGAGCUGGGUUCAGAACGUCGUGAGACAGUUCGGUUGGAAAAACAUAAUGCUCACACAUGUUCCACACGGGCAAGGAAGGAAGAAAAGAAUAGGAACGGAACAGCGGAACAGCGAUAGCGAAUCGGAAUAGGGAAGGCGAAGUAGGUUUUAAAGCAAAGGGGAUAAGCUGGAUAAAAACCAAAAGGCAUUUGUUAAAAGAGAAAGAGAUUCCCCAGGGCAAAAGUACGAUAAAUACAAGAUAUAGGAAAGAAGGCAAUGCUUUCUUUUUUUUCAUUUUUGCGACUCUCACCGCAUACGGCUCGCACAAAGACUCCAAAAUCCAUCGCUCCUGACUUAGUAUAGAAACCGGUAUAAAAGACAAGUGCUCACCCUCAACUCCAUCGAUUCACAGCCCCCUACGCCAAAGGUUCCUGGAAGCUUUUCAUCCCCUCCAAAUGAGUAUCUCAUGCAUAUUUCGGCUCAUGCAGUUUCAGGGCAGGUCACUGCUGGCACAUUUUCAGUCAAGGUCACUGUUGGUGGACAAACAGGCAUUGCCCUUAUUGAUACCGGCAGUUCAAGUACAUUCAUUGAUUUGUCUUUCGCAGUUAAAACCACUCAAAUUGGAUUUGCAUAGAAGGGUACAUUCUUUUAUUUUAGAUAGAAGAAACAUUUCUUCUAUCUAAAAUAAAAGACACCAAGCAGCAAGCAUUCAUCUUCUUAUUAUUAAGUGUGCUUGUUAAUAGACACCUUUGCUAUGAGCGUAGGAAGCUGCAGCCUUGCACAGAAAUAGAAGUUUCUAGGUGAAAGCUCAGUUUAUCCAAUUACAUAUUAAUACCGGAAGAUUCUGAUGGCAUCACUUUCUCUCGCAAGAAAGGACAAGAUUCCUGCUUCUGCUUGGCGAAGUGUCAGCUGGAACAAUCCAAUCAGUGAAAGUACAUUCUCUCUCACUAACUGGAACCUUAUCCCAAGGGAAUUAGAGGGGUAAAAGGGAGACCCAGAGAUCUAGAGCUGGCUUACACUCAUCAGUAAAUAAAGAAAAGUAAUCUGGGUUGUAUCACAUGUAUCACAAUAGCUCCAGGCAUGUAUCAUAAAUCAGAUUCCCUUAUCCUUGACCUGCGGCUUUUCCAUGCUUUCAGUGGCAUAUGACUAUCUGAAUGCCAUAUACCAAUCUCAAUCCUCCAGCUAAUAACCUAUCACACACAGUGUGAUAUCUCCCUUUUCUCCAUCUGCCUCCCUUCCCUUUUCGCCUUCCCCUGCUUCCGUUCACUUCUCCUACUUCCUUUUCUUCUGUUUCAUUCUGGCUGCUUCGCUAUCGCUCAUGACUUGUUAUAGAAAUCUCUCCGUGUAGUGUAGUGGUCGGCCUUCCCAUCUCCAUGCCUGGGGUUCCCAUACCGUCCAGAGAGAGUUGUCGCCAGGUCCUGCUCCCCACGCUAGACUGAUCGAUAGGAUCCUUUUGAGAGCUGGGGAAUGCCAUGGUUAUGUCCCUGAAUAGGAAAUUAAUGUAUGAGCACAACACAUCACAGUGUGGGAUAAACUAUUGUGCAAGUAAUUGGAAUGUCACCCUGAAAGUAUUAAGGCAAGCAUGUUUAUAAACUGAAAAAUGUAAAUAUACUUACUUAUGAAAGUGAAAGUGGAGUGAAAUCUGGAUAUGAAGGUUCAAGUCCAGUUCCAAUCUGGAUAUAAAAGUGUUGUUUAAUCGUCUUCUGGAAUCGUAUAACUGUCAAAAGUGAGUGACUGUUCAUCGGAACUGUUAUAGUCCGAAUACUCAUAAGGUUGGGUCAACGCACUUGGGAGAUAGAGGUGUCUUGCGGUAUACCUAUAGAUUGGCAUCUGUAUUUUUUUCCCCGCACCAAAAAUCUCUGAACCAAAUCCACAAACCCAGAGUUUUCCUCACCAAGAUGCUCUCUAAGAAAAUUACCCAGUAGGUGGUGAUCUAUCCCUGAUCUGCACUCAACGAUUGAAAACUUCACCAUCCAAGCCAUCUCAGGCCAUCGGGAGAAUUCCCACCUCCUUGGAGGAGUGAAUGCAAGGACCACUAAAAAACAGAUACUUUACCGACGUCAGAUACUUGUACGAGUCCUGAUCACCUGGGUCAAAGAAUCUAUGUUCAAGUCGCCUGCCUAACAAAUAGACGACUGCGUACUGUAGUUAGUCUGUUCCGUUGGUCCGAUCCUACCAUGGAAAGUGUUGCUGUGUCAAAUCGGAAUCUAAGGACUGGGGAGUUCUAAUCUCAGGAAAUGUCCCAGUUCGACGAGAGGAAUCCAACUCAGCCGGUCACACAGACUUCGUUCGAAUUACGAAUUUUUUUAUGAAAAAAGAAAUGAAAUUCAGUAGAAGCCGAGUAGGGAAGAGCUGAGGAAACAGAGAUAAUCGAGUAAUUAAGAUUGUACUUUCUUUCGCCUCUAAUUUUUUUUUUUUAUUUAUAUUUAAUAGUAGAUUCCAUAGAUAGAGAGCCAGUUCCAAUAGACUUAUGGAACGUUCCCGUUCGCGUGCAUCCAGCAGGAAUUGAACCCGCAAAGAAAAUGUCAUAUUGCUUGCUUCUUUGAAAGAAAUACUUAAGAAGCUUGUUUUUUAGUGAAGAAGCUAUAAUCCUCACUUUUUCCUAGCGUCUAGACACCACCUAACCUAUUAGUAAAUCAAGAAAGCAUUUCACAUCGUCUUGCGUGCAUCAAUUAUUGCUGCUUUCCGAAGAUAGACUGAAUGCUGAAUGAAGAGAAGACUUAUCUCCCGCCGAUAUUGAACAAAAUGGAAGAAAUUCUUCACGAUUUCUAGAGUUCCGGGAUUACUUCACUGAUAUCGAUUUUUGCCUUGACUCUAGUAGUGUAGUUAGCAUGCCUUCCGUUCCUUGCUUGCUUAUGCACUUUUUAAUUAAAGAUGACCUUUCAAUUAAUUAUUGACUGGAUAAAGUCCCCUGUUUUCUUGUUUUUCUUCUUUAACCAUAAAUCAAAAAAAAUUUCUACCUCCUUUCUUUUUCAUGUAUUUUUCUUCUUUUCUCGGAGAAGAAACAAUGACGGUAUCUGAGGAAUAAGCAUCGGCUAACUCUGUGCCAGCAGCCGCGGUAAGACAGAGGAUGCAAGCGUAGAUUUCGCUUCAACAACUCGAUCUUUUAAGUCGCUACUCUCACACGGAAUCCCAACCGAUCAUAAUCAUAGGUUCAACCACACCUGAAAUGUGUUUAUACAUUAGGAAGACUUACUACACUGGAACAAGCAGAGAAGCCAUUUCUUUCUCUCUCUGAUACAAAUUCCCAUCUCAUGAAAUUUUCUUCGUUUGAAGCCUUAAGAAACCAGCAGAGAAAGCGGCAGUUUUUUUUCCGAAUGACCUGAUUUCGAGAAUCAACUAACCUCCGUAGCCCAGGUGAUUCGCUGCCUCCCUCUCGCCAAACCAAAAUGGGAUGAAUCUUCCGGGUGAAGUCAGAUUCGUAAAACAAGGCAGCUCGAAAGAGCUGAAUUCCAACAUGCGCAACUAAUCUUCCAAUGGGAAGAUCGACAGAGGGAUAAGAAUAUUCAUAUUAAUGAUAUGCCGCUUGGAUCUGCAAAUGCUCCUUCCAAGAGGGAAAGUGGGGCGAUUCUUCUUCCUGUAAAGUUUCGUGUUCACAUCCAGUCUUCUCUGUACACUAGUGCUGCUUCCAGUUCUAUGCUAUGUAUGGUAGUCGUUUGACUCGGGAAUCCCUGAGCCCAGCUUUUAGUCCGUGCCUGGCAGUUUCAGCCGUGGUCCAGUCCAGCUUAAAGCAAAGUCAUUGGAAGGCCUUGGUAGAGUAACAGGUAUUAACUAGAUUUUUCUUUUCAAUGUGCUUUCUUGUAUUGUACUUUAGCAUUGCCAUCUGAAAUGGGUAUAGUAGUUCCAGAAGCGUUGCAAAUCUCCUAUUGUCCUAUAUAUGCGGUCCUAGCUAUUUUGUUUUAGUGAAAAAUAUGUUUUUGACAAAACGGAGUAUUCGGAGUUUCCCUGGGGUUGGUAAAGCGAAAUGGGGGCCACCCUAGCCCAUUGAGUGCCAAAAAGCAAAGUUGGCUUGACGAGCGCAGAUGAGGAAGCGGGAGCAAUAAAACCAAGAAUCUCUUUCUUUUCCAAAUACUUUAUUAAAUUAAGAUUAAGUUAAGGGGCAAAGAGAAGCGCUUUCGCUACUGAGAAAGCGAAUGGUCAGCGCGAGGGUUCGACGACUUAGCCGUGUACCUGGUCUUACUUCUUUUUCAGUUUACGCUUGUGUCCCAAGCUUGCAAGUUCGAAGAAGAGUAUUGUAUUGACCUGAAUCAAGUCUUGCUAGCUGGUUCUCCCCGAAAUGCGUUGAGGCGCAGCAGGCACACGACUGGAUAUCAAAGGUGGGGCUCGAAGCUGCCAAACGACUCCGUCGAUAAGAGCUCUUGGGAGUCAUCAGCCUGUUAUCCCCGGCGUACCUUUGAUCCGUUGAGCGAGAGCCCUUCCACACGGGACUCCCGGAUCACUAUGGCCGACUUUCGCUUGCCCCACUACUUGCUUAAGAAAGUCAACUACUACUUUCUAAAUUACUUAUUCUAAACCAAUUGUUUUUCUUUCCAUUCUUUCUGCUUGAACUUUUAUACGUCACAAGUUGGGGUUGCUGCCAUGCUUCGCUUUGAUGAACGAUAGGAAGAGUCUGGACUCACUAGAACUGGUCCUUAGUUAGGGAGAGACCUUGAGAGAAAGUGGUGCCGAUAGGAGAUCAAAUUAUUGACGUGGGUGGGAGAUUGUUUGAGUAGGCUCAGUAAGGGAUUACCCGCGGGCUGGGUGAAAGAGCUUUCAGAAACCUUUUCACUACAAAAGGUGUGGUGUACAACUUCCGAGAAAAGAAGUUGACGACCCGUAGGCCUUCCACCUCCACGCGGCAUUGCUCCGUCAGGCUUUCGCCCAUUGCGGAAAAAACAGAUUGAACAUGUGGUUCCGAGUUUCGAUAACUUCUUCUGCUUUCAUUUCCUCUCCUCCGUCUGCAAAAUCACUGAGUUAAUUCAAAAGUCCUGUUAGGUCACAUAAAGGUGCUUGUUGCUUUUAAAGUAUGAUAAAGUGGUUUUUAAACUGUCUAAGAGACUGAUCACGCCUGGUCAUUUGCAGAUCCAAGCGGCUUCUUUUGCUCUUUAUGUUCUUUGCCCUUAUUCUUCAUCUACUGUGGUACAAACUUUUUUGAAACGUCUGUCACGACUUAGUUUGAGCCAUUCUUGGGAAAUUCAGAAUUUUCUAUUUCAUAAUCAUUCCUAAUUUCAUUCUAAAAAAAAUCUAAAAUAAAGAUUGGUUUUCAGAUUGCUACUUGGCUGGCAUAAGAAAGAAGGCGCCCCGGCAGGAAUUCUGUAAGCUUGACUUGCGCGCAGGCUACCACCAGAUACGAAUGGAAGCUCGCUACUAGUUGCGGGUCUAGGUGCUUCUAUAAUUUCGCACAUAAGGGGUUAUUUCUUGGUUUCGUCCUUCGCAAUAUACCUGACAAAGCGGGAGGUGUAGCCGCAAUAGCACCAGUUUUUAUAUCUCUCUUGGCUUUACCUUUUUUUAAAGAAAUGUAUGUGCGCAUGUUGCAAUAAAUAAAAAAACUAUUUCUUUUUUCCCAUUUUUCUUUCUUAUAACAAACACAUAUUAGACAAACCGUCACAACAUCAUGUACAUGCUAUUCCCUUUGCCUCACGAUAUUUGGUCUAGCUUCAAGCCAACCGCUCUUUCUCGAUCCUGUGAUUCAGAAUCCCUUUGUAAGUUAACUCUUAACCAUACGUAGCACGGCCAUGCAUUUCUGGAUCCGAUCACUCGAGGGGCCCAGAGAUAUCACUGUCAAUCAGAGAGGGGCAAAUCCCAUCUUGAUUGACCAUGCCUCACAGCAUGCUUCUUGACAAACCUGAAAGCUACCUUUUUAACUACCUUGUUACGGUGUAGCAUUUGAUAGCCCCUUAAUAAGUCAAUCCACAUUUUGAGUACAUGCGACAAUCUCAGGUCUAAGGACAAAGCGUACGUGUUGUGUAAAGAGGGAACUACUUAUCGUGUUGGGUCAGUCCUAACACAUGUCUCUACAUAUGCCUACAUUAUUAGUUUGACAUCUCCAUGUCCAUGACUUGUGAAACAUAGUCAUCAACUAAUAUAUGUACUAGUCUAAUAUUCAUGUGUGUCCACACAUGAACUCCAACUAGGGACAACUUUUAGAAUAACCAUACAAGUAAAGAGUUCCACAUGCAAUUCACAUAAUUGCAGAUCAAUUCAAGUAGCCUUUAAUGGAUAUUCAAUGAACAUAAUAUACAAAUCAUGGAUACAAUCAGAUAUUAUCAUCUCUAUGAUUGCCUCUAGGGCAUACCUCCAACACGUUCUGGUCGGGCAAACCCACUUGUCAGGACCAGCCAGUAUCCUGGUCAGUCGAGACCCAUGGGGUACCCAUAUCCCUCAGCAAUCGCCCCCCACGCUUAAAAUCCACGACGUCCUCAUCGUAACCGAAUGAAGUACAAAAGGAGAAACGCUCGUAAAUGCACUAGUGACGCUACUUGCACUGCUUGCACAAGGGACGGUUACUGCUUCCUUCGCCAUUAGCUCUGUUCUUCCUCAUAUUGCCACAUAUCCCAAAGAGCAUCCUCAUGUUUCUCUCCAAGAACUUGAAGUUGUCCUCCUAACGGUGAUCAUUGUCUUCAAUCUUCUUAUCCAAAGCUCGCAAGGCCUGCAUGAUGUUGUCGACGGUGUCGAAAAGGUAGUGGAUGUUCUUCCUGCAAGCAGUACAACACGUAUGAUCAUGCUCCUCAAGUUUUGGCUCAUCGUCUUCUAGAUCUUUCUCUUUGCCCUUUUCUCGACGGCGUUCCUCUUCCUCUUUGCUUUUCUUCAUCUCAUCAGCCCAAUCCUAGUACGUGUUGGCAUCUUCUUUGUCAUCACGGCCUGCAGCACCCCACAAUUUGGGGCUCCGAUUGUCCUCCCAGUCGCUAUCACCUCCAUAGUCAGCCAGUGAGUACUCGGGCAUCUUCUCCACAUAGAUCUUGUGCUUGAUCCUGACGAGCCUUGCUGAAAGCCUUGUGGGAGCGAUGACGGCCUCCUUCUUCUUCGUUGGCGCCUCAUCAUCACUCUAGAGGACGAUGAACUUGCAAUCUGUGAGCUUUCCAGAUGGCGUCUUGCCUCCAACGCUGAUGCGAGCGUUACAAGCGGUCCUUGGUGGAGUUUUGGGACCCAACUCGAACCUCUUAUCUUGCAUAUGAAGGGCGAAGGCAGUGGCCAAGGGAGGGGGUGGUGCCAAUCGGUUUGGCCUCCUCCUUUGCCGGUUGCUGCCCCCUCUCAUCUCUCGAGCUCCUGGACAUCGCCAUUGCACUUUUUUUGUAGUUUGGGUAGAUCUUAAUUGCUUGUAUAGAUGUGAAACUUGAGCUCCAAUUCGCCUCAUUAUAUAGUCUUGAAGUCUUAGCCAAGGAUCCACACAUUUCCAAAAACUUCCUCGCUCCUUCCCGCAAAAAUUCACUUCCAUAUUCUAUCAUUACCAAAGAUGGGAAAGGGGGAACCGAAUCAGAGGUGA